rnacentral:lncRNA from 1 species
AUGGUAAAACUUGAUAUCAAAGAAGAGAAAAUCAGGUGGUCCAAUUGAUCCCCCCCCCGAGAAAUUCACCAUCAUGGUGUUUAAUCCAGGAUUUCUACGAAUAGCACCAUGGAAAGUUCAGAAUCAAGAACAUCUGAACAUACUAAGAACAAAAUGAACCGCACCAAGUCACUUGAAUCUAAAAAACUAUCCAAGCAAAGAGAAAUAGAUCGUCCAAGCAAAGAAAGCUUACAUGUACUGAAUCUGAAAAAAGUCAAAAACAUGUCAAGAAUGAAUAAAGACUAAUCUGAAAAAAGAGACAAAAGCAUGCCAAGAAUGAAUAAAAACUAUGAUUAAUCUGAAAACAUGUCAAAAUCGACCACACACUAAGCAAAGAAAGGUGGCCUACCUGAAUCUAAAAGAAAUUGUCCAAGCAAAGAGAAAUAGACUGUCCAAGCAAAAAAAGCUUACUUGUACUGAAUCUGAAAAGGACAAAAACAUAUAAAGAAUGCAUAAAAACUACGAUGAAUCUGAAAAAACGUGUCAAGAUCGACGACUCAUUAAGCAAAUAAAGGUGGCCUGCACUGAAUCUAAAAAACUUGUCAAUGUGAGAGAAAGUAUAUAGAAACAUGUCAAGGUCUGCUGAUUAUUGGAAAAUAAGUUUUGAUGUAAAUGUGAGAGAAAGUAUAACUUACAUAGGCAUCCUAUAGUUUUAGUUCAAGAUCCGCGCCCAGGUCCUCCCCGCGGCAGCGUCCUUGGAGGCAGGAUCUUCGAGUAGGAGAGCACUCUGCCAUGGAUCGCGAACCAGCGCGACUGCCACCCCUUGCCGAUGUUUGUCCACGUGUACAACACCUCUGUGACUACCGGUGCCUCCCUCAUGUCCUCAGUCGAUGUGGUCAUGUGGAGCGGUCGCUGGCCACUCCCCGACAAGGCACCAGGGUAGGUGAUUUUAAAUUAAAAAAUACAAAACCAAGGAAACAAUAUAUUGAGGUGGUAAAACAAAGGCGGCUUAACACGUAGACCAUGGGCCAAUAUAUCAUAAAUGAGCCAAAGGAUGAUCUUCAAGCCCUACAGAGGACUGGAAAAAUCACAUGGGAACAAAUCAUAGUAUCCAAUCUAAGCCCUAUUAGCGAAAUCAAUAUUGUUACCAGUCCUCAUAUUGUUUGUUCAGUCAUAUGUCAUUCUACAUAUUAUUAGUGCUAGAUAUUAGAAGCUCCUACUAAGCCUAUAUGGCUGUAUUGAUACAACUUUGUUGCUUUCUCUGCAUUUUCAGUUUAUGAAAAUAUUGGAUGGUUUUAGCCAUUUGGUCUACAUAACAAAUAUACUCCUACCGUCCUACGUUCAGUUUCAUGUGUGGUACCGGGGUAAGGACAAUGCAUAAAUGAAAUAAGAGAAGUCCUUUUAUUAAUAUAUACAGUUUGUCGUACACAAUUUAGUUCCAGAAAAGCAAGAAAUAAAAUAUCUAAAAGAAAGUCCAAAACACAAUGAAUUUAGUGGCCCAAUCUGCAUCCCAAAAAAAUAUGGAUGUUACUGUGUAUACUCGAUUUUGUUUUUCAGUUUCAACUAAUGUAUUUCCCAUUCAGAUAAUCAAGCCAUAUAACAAUUUUCACCAAAAAUGAAAUAUUUAGUCACAGUUGUACCCUUCAGAAGAAGCUUUUGCUAUAACUAAAAAAAGGUCAGCACAACUUUCACCAUAUAAUAAUUUCCUUUGUCAAAUACAAAUAUAUUUGAACAUCGACCAAUGGCCAAACAAAGGAGUUAGUGUUGCUCAUCUUAUGUCACAACUAACAUUAUGCCAUUGAUUUACAAUCUGCGCAUAUGUGUUGUACGCACUGCUCAUGUAAACAUAUGGGCAAUUACCACCUAGCCAUGAUAUACAUAGCGACAUGAUUCACAAAUGCUUAAACUUAGCAAGACAUGAUAUACAGAGCGACAUGAUGCAUGGAAAUUGAUGUUUAAGGACUAACUUCUUUAAUAGGAUUGGCUGACAAAGGCAUGUGAAAUUCUGAUGGAAGUGGGUAAUCCACCAUGGCCAGAUAAUCGAAUGAAUAGUCGUAACAUGUAAUUUGGCACACAAGUUAGAAGUAGCUUUAUAACACAAUGGUCAGUAAUCAAAUGAAGGUCAAAGAAAACAUGUAGUACUAUGCAUUAUAUGAAAGUAUAAUAAUGGCAAACAGAGGGAGGGAUCUGAUCAGCUUAUUAACCCAUAUCACCAACUAAAAUGCAAACAUAAAUAGCUAACAAAAUGUAUACAGUUGGAGGUCAACAAUUUGGUACUAAAUGAUAAAUAAAAGCCAAUAUUAGUUACUCCGCAUGCAGUUACCUCUGUGAAUAUCACAACAUCUGGAUCUCUUCUUGGUCAAUAGCAAAAAAGGAAAACAACAGUCUCGUGUUCUAUGUAGAGGACAUGAGGCAAACCUAAGACAUUCAGUGGUCAUGCAUUGCAUAAUAUAUCACACCAGAAAGAAGUAACCAUAUUCUAUCCAAGUCAUAGAAACAAAGAAACACAACAACCUUGAGUAAGCAUGCACUCUAACGAAGGUACCUCAAACUGAAUUUGUAAAUCAAUCUGGUCAGCAAUAUAGCAGUAGCUGAACAACCAUUUUGUGGAUUCGAAAAAGAAGAGAUCCAGAUGCUCUUCUUUGGUGGGUGGAGCAGAUGGGGACGGGAGGAUGAUGCUGGUGGAGGGGGCUAUGAGGAGGCACCGGAGGGAGGCCGCGCGCUGCGGAGGUAGGGGUGGUGGUGGCGUGGCGAGAGAGGUGCACAAGGAAGGCGACUGCCAUGGUGGUGGUCGUCGUCGGUGGUGGAGAGGAUAUCUGAGCACCACAGUGUCGAAGAAGGCAUGCAGAUGGGCCCUUGAGCGGCGCGCCCGGGAGGCUGCAGACGGAGGAACGAUGGGGGGAGACACAAUUGGUGAGGGCCGUCGGCGGCUCGCGUGGAGGGGGGAGGCGGGGGGACGAACGUGGGCGUGGGCGGGCGGACGGUGUAGAUUCACAGAAGCGAGCAGACGGUGCAGAUUCACCGAAGGCAGAACCAGGGGAGGCAGGCUACCCCCUUGCAGCCUUAAUAUAGUAGUAUAGAUUAGUCCACCAUAAUAUAUUGUAUAUUGAGAGAGUUGUAUGUUAGUCGAUCUGUCUCUUGUAUGGUGUAGUUUAGCGUAGGCCUGGUUACAAGCACCAUAGUUUUAAAAAAAACUGGUUUCUCUCCCUAGUUUGUAGAAAUUGGUUUUAUGAAGAAAAAACUAGGUGUGCAUGUUUGGAACACAAUUUCUUGAAAACAGUUUUUAGUUUUUUCAAUACACAAAGUCAAGUCUACCCUUACUCUAUUUAAAAGUAAUUGAUUCAAUUAUUCCCUUCUAUUUUUAAUUUGCUACUAAUUUUAAAUAUAGAUUAAAGUCAUAUUGUUAAAUUUGAAAUUUUCAAAUAAUAACUAAACAUUUAAAUUAGACAGAGCAGGCAUUAAGUGGAUCACAUGCAUAGGCAUGAGAGUGGUGACAAUCACCGUAAUUUCAACCAAACCAACUAAGGAGAAUAUCUAAUUUGCUAGACAAAAAUGAGUUUUAGCUAGGGAUGAAUAUCUUCUUAGUUUCUUAGAGAUUGAAAAUCUAGUUUCUAGAAACUGAAUCAUAAAUUGGUGUGUUUGAAAGUACUCCAGUUUUUUAAAAACUUGUUUGUAAAAAAACUGGAAACUAGGUGCUUCCAAAUAGCCUUUAAGACUGUCUAAUGCAGAUAGUGUAAAAUAGACUACAUGGCUCAACUUCCACUAGUGCCUGAGAAAGCGACGAUUGCGUAUGUUCCUCGUGAAACCACAGUACCACACACGUCCCCGUCUUCUGGUCGACAAAUUUAUUAGAUGUGUAGGGGUUAAAAUGUAUCACGAUCCAAAUUUUCUUCACAAUUUUUAGGGCUCUAAAUAAAUUAUAGUUCAAAAAUAGUUAGAAAUAGAGCCUGAUUCUAAUCUGACCCGAUACUUAAAUUUUAUAGUAUAAAAUUUAGAGCACAUUAUCACCCUCACAUGUGCGUGCCUAUUUCUGGAUCACAAUAAUAUCCGAACUAAUAAACUGAGCCCACGUCCCUAAAAAAUAAUAAGUCCAAAGUUUUUUUCCAGGUGAAGUUAGACCCAAGAGCUCCAAAUCCUAGGCCCAUGGCAAACAGGUCCAUAUCUAGUUAGACCUAGACAGGUCCAAACUGAGGCUCCGAGAAAUCUUGGCUAGUGGUGAAAACAGGUCGGAUAUAUCCACCAGGUACCAGAUACGAAUAAUACAAAUACCUGCUUUUUCGGGUAUUUAUUGCGUGAGUUACACAUAAAAUCACUCUAUGUGUUGAAGUUUUAACAUAAUCAAUACUUCACUUAUCAUUUUUAUGUGGGGACUUGAGAUUAUAUUCGAAUAUAAUGUUUAUUAGUUUUGAUAACUUUUUUGUAAUUUGGGUCGAAACUAGUGUAUUUUACGAACUUAAUUAUAUUUUUGAUGAUUUUAUGUAGAAAGAAAUUAAUAAUGCAUAAAUAGCCUAAAAAAUUUAUGAAAUUAUACGGAGGUACAACAUAUGACCACAUAUAGUCAUAAAAAUUAAUGGGACCAUAAAAUUCACAAGAUGUCAACAUUUUUAUAUUUUAUGACCACUUAUUGCGUGACUUGCACGUGAAAUCACUCUAAAUAUCUAAGUUUCAACAUAAUCAAUACUUCACUUUACCAUUUUUAUACGAGAACUUGAGGUUAUUUUUUAUAAAAUGUUUAUUAGUUUUGAUAAUUUAUUUAUAAUUUCGUGGUCGAACAAAAAUAUUUUAUGAUAAGCAUUUAAUGCAUUAUCCGACAGUUAUCCGAUACCCGACCAAAUAAUAUCCCUAUCCGUCAUUUAUCUGUCCGAAUAAAUAUCCAGUCCCGUAUCCAUUUCUAUCCAUUUCGUUUCUAACUAUUUGUAUCCGAUCUUAAAUCUAUUUUAAAUACCUUAAUCUUUACUACUCUAUAAGGGUGUAACGGGGGCGUCCACACUUCACCGUGGCUCCGCCCCGACGCCCCUCCGCGCACGCCCUGCCUCAGUGACCCCGCGUCCCCCGCCCCCGACAAUCUCGCUCUGUGACCCCGCCCCACUCCUCCGAACGUCCCCACUCAUCCAACGAAACCCUAGCACCUCAAGCCCCACACCGUGGCUCCGCCGCCGCCUCCGUGACCCUCGCGAUCGCGCCUCCCUCCGCGCCAUCCUCGCCCGCGCACGCCCCCCGGACAAAGCUGUAGCCGGUCGCGGUCAUGCCGCCGUCCACGCUGCUACCCGUGCCGGCCACCUCCCAAGAGGACAACAGUCAGCACUGUGCCCCCACCUCCCCCUCCGGGCACGCACCCGCCCCAUCCACGAGCAAGCUCUUGCUGCGAGGCGGGGGAGGUUGUUGGCGGCUCCCUCUGCACGCCUGGAGGCGCCGGAGGCACAACCAAGGAGGAGCCUAAGAAGGAGGAGCAAGCCCUCUGACUCGCACCCUUCAUCACCCGUCUCCUUCCCUAAUCCCACUCCAUCGCUGCUAGGUCCUCCUCUCCCACUUUCUCUGCGACCGCGACGGCAGCAUCCGCACCGCCCACCACCACCACCUCCUGCUCUGUUGAACCGAUUCGCUGAAAGGUCCCUACCAUCCACGCCAUGCCCUUCUCUAGCCUCGCAUCGCGCCCUUGAUGUGUCUCAUUGUGUCGCUGUCAGGCCACAGAUUCGUCAUCCGACUCCGAUGAGGCUGCAUCCUGUCGUCCUCGACUGUUGACUGCUGGUAAGUCACCCUAGCCUGUUUACCAUUCAUCCUGAUCUUGUCUCUCCGUGUCCCGCAAUCCCAGUCGCGAGGAACUCCAUAGCAAUCCCAGCCGCAAUCGACGCACCGGCCGCGAGGAACUCCAUUGCAAUCCCACUCCAUCGCAAUCCCAGUCGUAAUCGACGCACCGGCUCUCGAUCCGCGCUCUCAAGGGAAGGUGAGUCGCCUUGGCACCGACCGGCCUCGCCCCCAUCAAAAACCUUCCAUGUAGGAUGCGACAGACACAGAUUCGCGCCUAUAAAAUGUCAAGAAACAUUACAUAACAAAUGCAUCUCUUCAUACUACUGCCAGGUACGUCCGGAUCUUGUAUACACUAUUUGCAUCACUAAUCCUUGAUUAUCAGACAUCUGUAGUGAGAUUGUUCUUUUCCUAUGAAUUUCUGUUGGUCAGCUACAAUUUCAGUAUUUUGGUGUUUCAAUAAGGUUUCAGUAUUUUUGGUAUUUGACUGUUCUAGACAAGCAGUGUUGUAGAUAUAUAGAACCUGCGCUCAUUUUGUCCAAGAGAAACUGUUUUCUCUGUCUGAUAUAUUGUCUAACUGUUUUCUCUGCCUGAUAUAUUGUCUAACUGUUCUAGAUAAGAAGUGUUCUAUGUAGAGUAGUUUCUGAAAACAGUUUCAAAUGACACUAACAUAAUCAAGUUCACAAGAAGAUCAUAGAUAUGUCUUCCCUCACACACUAAAAAACAUGUGCACACCUUAUUUUUCUUUUGUUUUGUAAACUGCUUCUAUGCUUUUAUUAACAUCAUUAAAAUUAGAUGUUAUCUUAAAAGAUAUAGUAAAUUGUGACGACACAUAAAAUAGACAUAAUCAAGACUGCAAAAUAGGUUACAAAUGUAAACAUAAAAAUAAUAGCCCAAAUUCAGCUCCUAUUUCAGUAGCAACGAGCUAAAAGCUGACAAAUGCUACUCCAUCUAAUCUCGAUCUUUCCAAAAAUUGCAUAUAUAAAAUUUUCUUGUCCAUGAUGCAGUAGAUGCAGUAAGGGUACUUACACUGAGCUGCUCGUCAUGCCCGACAACGUCGUAGACGUAUGAGUAGCAGGUGCAGAGGUGCUCUGGGAAGCAUAGGUACUCCUCGGCGUUGAUAGUAUAGUAAUAUUGUUUCAAAUCAUCUUUUAAAAAAAAUCAGACACCAAACAAUUUCUUUAAAAAAAUCCAAACAAAGGACCGAGCUUAAAUGACGUGACAUGAGAUGGGGACACUAUAAUAAAUCAGCGGAGUAUCCAGCAAAAAAUUAAGAACAUUCAUCCACCACCUUCUCUGAACUGAAUGUUAUCUGCUUCCCUCCUACCAGUCUGCCUCUGCUCUGCUUUUGACUGCUAGAUGAGUGACCCACCUGCACACCAAAUAUCUUGUUCGUUGGUAGGUGUGCCCAAUUAAUCCUAAAAACAGAGACCACAUAUUAUUCCAAUCGCAGCAAAAGAUACCAGUCUGCCAUCACAACGACAAACAAACAUCGCAAUCACAAUCAGCUAGAUACCACAACAUCGGCAUCCUCACCGGCCUACGGCAUGCCGUUCCAGCCUCACAAGUCACAGCUGCAUCAUCCACACCCACUACAAAACUAGCCUUCUUUUGACACCUUCCUUCAAGAAGCAGCAUGGAGAAAUAUAUGACAUUACAGCACGCAAAUUGGAAUCACAUAGUUUAACGUCACAGCAUCACGCUGCCGUUACGUAUCCCCAGAUGCAUGAUCAAACUAUAUAUAUCCCUUUCAAUAACAUUUAUUAGACCUUGAAAGAAAAAAAGGAAAAAGAAAAAGAAAGAAGCACUGCCUUGUAGACGUACAAUGCAUUCCAUAUUAGACAACCUCUAGCAGCAAGCAACCUGUCUUUAUUCUUGACAAACUGAUUGCAAGCACUAUCCUCAAACAGAUUUAAGUCAAGAUAAAAAAAAUAAAAGACAACAGAGGUUUAACUGUCAAGACAACAACAUGCAACUUACUUAUAUCGAACUUAAUUGUCUGACCAAACUCCUCUGAUUCACAUGUUGCCCCUGCAGGUGUUCUUGUUCUGCUUGAUAGCAGGGUACAGCAUCUGCUGGUUCAACACAGUCUGCUUUGUUCUCUGCAUCCGCAGCUUCUCUGCGAGCAACCGCUCCCUAGCCCUCUCCCUCUCGAUAAGCUUCAACGGGCUCAGCGCUCCCUUCUACACUCUCUUUGCGAACGCACUCUCCCCUUUCUCCCCAGCUGUCUACCUCCUCCUCAAUGCAAUCCUCCCUCUCGCCGUCUCCGUCCUUGCACUCCCAGCGAUCCUCCUCUGCCACAAAAAUGAGGGACACAUCCAAAGUGCGCACGGGCAUGACGGCCGUGUCUUCUCGGCCUCUACAUCCUCGCAUUCAUCACCGGCAUAUAUCUGGUGGUCUUUGGAUCUUUCACCGCAACCAGCUCUACUGCGUGGGUCAUCCUCACAGGUGCCAUGGUCCUCCUCGCCCUUCCUCUCAUCAUCCCUGCCUGCUCCAGUUGCUCAUACGUGGACACAGAUGGCCCUGACCCUGCAUAUGAUGACCCACAUAAGCCACUCCUGAUCAGUAACAGUCAUCAGAUGGAGUCCAAUGCCAUGAUGCAAAAGCCAAAGGAGAACCAGAUGCAGGUCAAGGGCCGCCUGGAGACGCUCGGUGAAGAACACAGUGCAAAGAAGCUCAUUCGGUGUGUGGACUUCUGGCUCUACUACACAGCCUACUUCUGUGGAGCCACUGUUGGCCUGAUAUACAACAACAACUUGGGUCAGAUUGCUCAGUCAUUGCACCAGCAGUCACAGCUCACCAUGCUCCUUGUCGUCUACUCAUCCUGCUCCUUCUUCGGCCGUCUUCUCUCUACACUACCUGACCUCCUUCACAGGUAUCUGUUUUGCUUUAUACGCAUACAUAUAUAUAUAUAUAUCAUCAUAUCUCAUGCUUCCUAACUAUAAUUUGUACACAGGAAGGUGUCACUUGCUCGCACAGGGUGGCUUGCUGCUGCAUUGGUCCCCAUGCCAAUGGCCUUUUCCUUAUGUGGAACCAACAAGAUGGAAGCACCCUGGUAGCAGGAACAACACUAAUUGGCCUAAGCUCAGGGUUCAUCUUUGCUGCAGCAGUGUCAGUGACCUCCGAGCUCUUUGGACCAAAUAGCGUUGGGGUGAAUCACAACAUCCUUAUCACCAAUAUCCCGCUUGGCUCACUCCUCUAUGGGCAGAUUGCUGCCAUGGUAUACGACGCAAAUGGCCAAAAGAUGACAGUAGUGGAUAACCGCACUGGCAUUGUUGACACCAUGAUUGUGUGCAUAGGGGUGAAGUGCUACUCAACCACCUUCGUCGUGUGGGCUUGCAUCACAUUUCUGGGGUUAGCAUCAAGCAUAGUUCUAUUCAUAAGAACAAAGCCAGCUUAUGCCCAUUCAUAAGAAUCUUAUCGUUGUCUGAAUUCUUAUAUUUAUUACUGUCAGAGUUGUCCUUGUAUAAAUCAGGGUCUGUGCCAAACUCUAAAUUGAGGCCUUGCUAAAUAGAACAAUAAACCUAUGGUUUUAGAUGACAUGUGAUUAUAUUUUAUAAUAAACAUAUCUUAUGUCUCCUUUUUUAGAUUGAAUUAGACCCUUUAUUCUUUAUUUAUUUAUUAGGCUUUGGUAACCAGAUUCAUAUAAUUGUCUUUAUCAAUUGAUGCACAAAUACACAAAAGAUGGAAAUAAGAAAUAAAGAUAUAUAUGACAAACCACAAAAAAUAGUUCACUGAUCUCUAUAGUUCAUUUAUCAUAUGAAGCAUUUGAAAAAGAAAAGGAUGAAAAGAAGAAACUUCAAAACUUCUAAAUUGUUGUGUUGUUGCCUAUGCAUGACAAUGUGCCCUUAUUUGUUUGUCGCUAAGCAUUAGAGUCGGCAGUCCUGCACCCUAAAGCCAUCCAGAUCAGGAUGCAUGGCAGCUGGCUUCUGGUGGGCACUUCCUAAAUUUUCGGUGAGCAAAAUGCUUAGAUUCUCUCAGAAAUUGUGCCUUCAGGAGUUUUCAGUAUUAUGAUGUGGUUAUGCAUUAUGUUUUCUCAAUGUCUGGGUGGAAACUUUGAAAUGUCUACUAUCACUUGUAGCAUUGUCCAGGAUAUGGAACAGUCAAGGUGUUACAGAAGAUAAUGGGUGGUGAUUGCACUUGUACUGUGCUUGUCGAUAGUACAUAUUAGGUGCUUGUUGUCUUCUUCCACCUUCUAGACAUUUGGUUUUGUUGUUUUCAGGUUAAUUACAUCUUUUGAUGAAGUUAGAGUUUACCCCAUUCCUGUAAUGCUUUACCUGGUCAAGAACUUAUUGCAGGUAUGUCCAGUUGCCCACUCAUUCUGUUGUAUGAUUUUUUAAAAAAACAAAAACAAGCAAAACAUAACCAUGUUUCCCGGCUUCUGUGGUUGUCAGUAUUAUAUCUUUGAAUAUGUGGAUGCACCAGCUUACCAGAUUCUGAAGAACUUGAAUAUUAUCAGCACUGGUGUCCUGUACCGUAUAAUUCUCAAGAAAAAGUAAGUCUAAUGAGCUUGUUCUAUUAUAAGUUUUAUUUGCUGACAAGUGGCAUGCACUAUGUCAUUGGGUUCACUUUCACUUGAAAUCUUUGAUGCAAAGCUGAAUGCUAAAGAUGGAAGACAUGAAUUAUAGUUCUGUGAUGAAAGAGUUCUGCUGAAGUUCAAUAUGUAAAAUAAAUAGUCAUCCUUAGGCUUGAAUCCGUACUCUAUUGAAGUAACUAGCUGCCUAAAGGACUAUGCAACAACUAACUCUGAAAUCUGAAACUGACACAUUUGUUGAAUCUAAUACCAUGCUACCCUCCUAUUUGGUCAUCGUAAGUUCGUAACAAAACCUCUAUUGUUUUCCACUUCAUUCCUUACAGUUUUUUAAUAUUUUCUUCCCCAACAACUGCUUUCCAUUGUUGUUUUAGCAUGGUUGAACUAACGCAUGUUAAGUCAAAUUCAGUGAGCUGGAUGCACUACUGCUCAGCUCAGUCCCUCGUAAGCCAAACAUGUUUCCCCUAACCCCUCAUUCUUUUUCUUGUUUGUUCAAUGCCCCCCUCUCCCUCAUUGCUUUCUUAUUUGUCCUUUUCUAGGUCAGACCAUGUUCUUCAGACCCCUAUUCGAGGUUGGGUGAUGGCAAUUGUGAGUGAAGCAGAAAAAUAAUCAAUCCUGUCUUCUGGACAUAGUAGAGGAAGUAUUUAACAACUACCUGAAUGCCCUUUUCCCCUUUUUGCAGGUGAUGGCUCUUUUAAGUGGUUUUGCAGGAGUAUAUACUGAAGUGUGUGACUCUAUACUUCUAAUCUUUUCAUCAUUUGUAUUCUUGUUUUUUUGGAAAAUACAUUUGAUACAAAAUAUUAAUGAUUUUUUAGGAAUGUAAUAUAUUCCUUUAUUUUGAACAAUCCAGGUUAUCAUCAAGAAAAAUCCUUCAAGAAAUAUCAAUGCACAGAAUUUUUGGCUGUACAUAUUUGGGAUGCUCUUCAAUUUGGUUGCAAUUUGUGUCCAGGACUUCGAUGCUGUCAUGAACAAGUUAGUGCAGAUUUUCUUACAUGUCCGACAUUCAUGUCACCUGUUACAGUUCAUUAUAUUGAUCAUUCCAUUUGAAUAUUUCAUCUGGUGCAGAGGCUUUUUCCAUGGCGAGGUUUACAUGAGCACAACCAUUAUUUGGAUAAAAAAUAUAUCUAAGAUGCUACCAGCUCAGACAAUGAUGCAAGAAGAGCUUUUACCAUCGCUAAAAAUGCAGAAAUCUGAAUGCCUUUUAACAAAUCUAAAAACUCCUUAAAACCUGUAACACUAUACUUGAACUUGUAGCCAAUUAGCUGCAAGUUAUUCAUACACAAAUCUGAAUGCCUUGAUAGAUGAAUUUGGGUAACUUUUUUCAUUUCCUUCUAGAGCAAAGCAGAAGAGAUGAUCUGGAAUCUCUUUGUUAUGUGCUCAUGUAUUUAUUUUUUAUGCCUUUGAAAAUAACUUGUCAAAUUUUCUAAACAAGUCCUCUGUAAAUCAUAUCCAUCAGAGUUUACUACAUAUUUUCAUUACUGUAGAUCAAUACGAUUUGAAGAUAAACUAUAUUACUCCUAUUUGAAGAGACUCUUCUGUGACCUAUUUAUCUGCGAGGGUAUGAUUAAACAUGAGAAAUGUAUAAUUGAUGUUCCUUGCAUCUCUAUUUUUGAUGUGGCUUAUUCUGUAUACUUGUAGGGUACCAACUAGAUUAUGUAUUUGAUUGGACCAUUAUGAAGUAUCCUUAGUUUAGUGAUAAAAGCAAACUUCAGUUAUACACACAUGUAAUUCAUUUCCAGCUCACCAUUGACCAAUGUGAUUUUCACUGGUUUGUGUUGGCAUUAUCGACAUAGUGUUUGGGCCUUGCCGGAUCUGCUAUGACUAAUGCCGGCCCAUUCAGCCAUCAAAAUCUCUUCGAGCCGCAGCUCGUCGUUGGUUCGGUGUUCUGAUCUCCAAGACUCCAAGGAGGUCCGACUUUCCUUUUGUAGUGCAAGGUUGCCUGUUCUCGCGGUCAAGGCAACCCAGCUUGCAAACUCUUCUACGUAAGAAUGACCCAAAAGAACUAUGACACUUCCCCCUGCUUGCUAUACUGCUCAAACAUUUAAUGCCAACCUUGAGCAUAUAGCUGGUGUCAAAUGGUUUGUUUUGACAUAGUUGAUUUCAAGGUUUGGACAAGUUUCAACAGUUAUCACACAUGCUGAAUAUCUAAACUGGUCUGAAACUCUGAAUUAGUUGCAUAGCAAUUAGUUAGGUCACGAUGUUGGAUGCUGAUUUUUUUUGUUCUGAACUCCUCUGGUCGAAUCUCCACGGUACAACAAGUUGUGUGGCACUGGAGUUCUCACCACAACUUAUGAAAUUAAGGAACACGUUGUGUGGCACUGGAAUUCUCACCACAACUUAUGGAAUUAAGGAAGGGGAUGGUUAAGCCUCCUGCUGCUCCCAUUGUUGGAUGUUUGAAAUGGUUGUAUGUAUGAUAUUUUCUAGGUGGACUUGAAGGAUAAGACUGCUAAAUAUAACACACAUUUUAAUAUAAUACACAUUUAUACAUAAAUUAUUGUGAUAUUAUAUGUUUCUGUUGCAAUGCACAUAAAUUAUCGUAGUAUUAUAUGUUCUCGUGUUCUCGUGGUAUUAUAUGUUUCUAUUGAAAUGUAUAAAACAUUUUCUCAUAACAGUAUAACAUAAAUUCCAGCAUAAUACAUAUUUAUACAUAAGUUAUCGUGAUAUUAUAUGUCCCCGUUGCAACGCACGGACACUCACCUAGUUUACGGAUCGAUCGUCCUUUUCACCCCUAAUCUGGGCCGCUACCAAACAAGCACAGUUGGCUGGAGAGCGGAGACACUGGUCGAGCCAGCGAGCGUGUGCGCUUGCUCUGACAGUUUGCCUUCUUCCCAACCCAACAGAAGCGAAGCAUCUCUUCUCCCCCCUUCCCAAUCGGGCUGCGGCAUAUCCCCUUCUCCGUCCUCCCGCCUGCCGCCAUGUCUUCGCCUUCGCCCUCGCCGCCGGCGCCGGCGGAAGAGGAGGGCCGGGCGCCGACCAAGUACGUGCUGAUCACCGGCGGCGUCGUCAGCGGCCUCGGCAAGGGCGUCACCGCCAGCAGCAUCGGCGUCGUCCUCAAGGCCUGCGGGCUCCGCGUCACUUGCAUCAAGAUCGGUACGCGCUCCUCACUCACUUCCUCCGCGGCUUUUGCGAGGCGUUCCCCUCCCGGUGACCUUUAUAACCCUAGAGCCGUUUCGAGCGGGGGGUGGUCGUUGCGAGAUAGGUGUGUAGUGUUUACUGGAUCGGGGUGAUGAAUGCGACCCGCUUCCGUGGUUCUGCUAGGGAUUUAAUCCUUUCCGGAUUAGGUAAUUAGAGUGGCAGUUUGUUGGGUUCUGCUUGGAGUCUCCGUGGCCAUUCGCAAUUCUUUACUGCUUCUUGGUGGAACUUGGGGGCAAUGACUAGUAGUCAAAGAUUACCUUGUUGGGGGUUCCAGUUACCUGUCACCUUGGCUUCUAGUGAGAUGAAAAUUGUUGCUACACCAUGAAUUCGUCAGCCCGUGCUCGUUGUCAGGUUUUAAAGGCUUGUUGCUGUCUGUCAGUCUUUUGUUGAGCUUUUUAUGUGAACCUUUCGUUCCACUGAAGGUCGGUGUUGGGCCUUUUUAGUGAUGUGGCGUGGCCUUCGAUUGUCGUUUAAUUGGCAUGGUGCACUGUACGUCUGUACCUAUGGUUUAAAACUCCUGAAUGACUUUAUGUGGUUAGCUUUUUAAAAGAAUUCUGUCUAAAAUGGGGCACCUUUAGGAUCUCUUGUGUUAUUUUCUUUCUGUGUGAUUUUACAAUACAAAUGGUUUGCUCAUGUGGAUAUUAAAUCUCUUGGAGGGGCUUUGGUCUUAGUACUUUGCUCUCUUGUUUUUGUAGAUCCAUACUUGAACACAGAUGCUGGUACAAUGUCCCCCUUUGAGCAUGGCGAGGUGUUUGUUCUUGAUGAUGGUGGAGAGGUAUAGCUCCUUAAUGCUUGCAUUUAAUACACAUUCUUUAAACUCGCAGUCUCGGUGGUAGCUACCUAACAUGCGGUAUCUGUAGGUUGACUUGGAUUUGGGGAAUUAUGAGCGUUUCAUAGAUGUUACUCUGACAAGGGAUAACAACAUUACCACUGGAAAGAUAUACCAGGUGAGUAUCUUCUGCCUCAAGGAAAUGCUUUCCUUUUCUCAUUUAAGGUUGUAAACCGAUAGUUUCUGCUUCUUUCAGUCUGUCAUUGAGAAGGAGAGAAGGGGUGAUUAUCUUGGAAAGACUGUACAGGUAAUUCUUCUGUGGCAUUUAUUACUCGAGUUGCAUUGUACGGACUGCCCAUAUGCAAAAUCUGAAACACCUAUGGUUUCAAAUAUCCAGGUUAUUCCUCAUGUCACUGAUGAAAUAAAACAGUGGAUACAGUCAGUGUCUUCGGUUCCUGUGGAUGGGCAGACUCGUCCAGCUGAUGUUUGUGUUAUUGAAUUGGGAGGCACUGUAGGUAGGGUUCUAUGACAUCUUACGAUCUGACACUUCGUGAUUACUAGUGUAGCAGAUAAAUUGAUUUCUCUCUUAUUUCAGGUGAUAUUGAGUCGAUGCCAUUCAUUGAAGCUUUGCGCCAAUUAUCCUUUUCUCUUGGUAUAGCUGCUUUGUCCAUUUAAAUUUUAUGGUUGCUGCGGUAUGUUUUGGUGUUACGACUUACACUCGUAUGAGACUUCUAUUGUUUCUCGUGGUUUAUUUUUUCUAUCUAUUUCUUUGGGAACAGUUAGACCCGUAGAUUAGAGUACACUCUAUGCACUGCCAUUUCUUUCAUGCUAAUGUAGCAUUCACAUAUUUUACAUUUCUUGGAAGUAAAAACACCUUUCUUGUUAGGGACUAUCAUGAAUAUGACUCGUACUCUUAUAUGUCUGUUCUAGGCAAGGAAAAUUUCUGCCUCAUACACGUUAGCCUUGUUCCAGUAUUGGGUGUAGUUGGUGAGCAGGUAAAUAAUUCUUCCUUUAGCGACGAUGAUGAAUUCUGCUUACUGCUUCCUCUAUCCUGAAAUGAGGGAAACAAUCUAAUUGCACACACUUUUCAAGUCUUGUACCAUGACAUAGUUACUGGUACUGGGAAUCUGACAUUCUUGUUUCCCUUUUUUGUAGAAAACUAAACCAACACAACAUAGUGUACGAGAACUGAGAGCCUUGGGUCUGACUCCUGAUCUUCUAGCAUGCCGGUCAGCACAGGUAAUGCAAAAACAUAAAAAAAGUUAAUAACUAAUAGCAGAUUCUUUAGAAUAUGUCUUAUUUUCAUUCGUCGUCAUAUAUUUUUCUGGAAGUCUUUCCCAUGUAUUGAAUAUUUUUGACAAGUCUUCUGUUGAAUUUGUUUUUUAUUUUCUGUAAUGAAUUUUGGUCCAAGCAGUCAUUAGCUCAUUUUAACUGCUGAACAUGUACCUUUUUUAGUUCAUGCGUUUCUUGUUCUAAAAUCGUUUUCUUCUCUUGUCCAAUUUGUAUCUAAGCGUCCUUUCUAAUGAGAGCUAUGUUUAUCUGUUCUUUCAGCCACUAAUAGGAUCUGUUAAAGAGAAGCUUUCACAAUUUUGCCAUGUCCCGGUAUGUUUCAUGAUUAAAUGCGAAAAAUGCCAUUUAUCCACAGCAUUUCUCGACUCACAUUCUGUCUUCAUUCCUGUAGGUCGAGAACAUACUUAACAUCCAUGAUGUUCCAAAUUUAUGGCAUGUCCCACUUAUUCUUAGAGUGAGUUGCAACGUUCAAUAAAACCUUAGCCUUGAAUUUUGUGUAGAAAUGUAUUGAGUCUAUAUAUGGAUUGCAUUUAGUGUUGCUGCAGCACAAAUUUUGACAAGUACUGUUUUGCAGAACCAAAAGGCUCAUGAAGCUAUAAUCAAACAACUAAACCUUGCUAGGUGAGUCAGAAAAUUACUGAAAAUCAGUGCUUAUCAAUGCAUGUAGAGUAUUUGGACGCUCUGCACAUGGAAUGUUUCGUAAUGUGCCCAUAACAGUGUUUUCAGAAGUGCUUGGUACCAUUUAUGCCCACUACCUAGCACCUUGGUGGGCUAGACAGUUAUUUUAAGUAGUGAUUCAUAUACUAUUGAGAAACCAUAUAUUACCAAUAUUGGCAGAUGCUUGGCUUAAACUUCCAAUUUUUUAACUAUGUUUGAAAUCAUUCUAAUUACUGUUGAAAGGCUUACUCUAACUUGUUUGGUGUGAUUGAUUGAGAUGAUUACAUUGUAUUCAUUGCAAUGGCAUCCCCUGUUUUUAUAUAUUGUGAUAUGCAUUUGUGGUUAUUAUAUCUUGGAGCAAUAUCACCUUGGAUUUUAUUUUAUAGAUCUGCUGGACCACCUGAAUUACGAGAUUGGACAGAUAUGGCUGAGUCGUAUGACAACCUCAAUAACUCUGUUAGUGUUGUAAUAGUAUUUGUUGUUGGUUCUUUUUUGUUGGUGCAGAGUAAGUCUGAAUGAAUAUCCUUGUUAUGCAGGUUAAAGUUGCUUUGGUUGGGAAGUAUACUAAUCUGACAGAUUCUUACCUAUCAGUGGUGAAGGUUGGUACAGAUGAUCCUUACAUAUAAGUGGCGAAGUUGAGUAGCUUGCCAAUUGUGAUAAUUAGUGUGCAAGAACAAAAAUUUAAGUAUAUUUUAUGUGGUGAGAAGGGCGGGCCUGGUGCAGCGGUAGAGCCUACCGUCUGGAACCGGAAGGUCCCGGGUUCGAGCUCCAGCCUCUGCAUAUUAUGCGGUUAAGGCUUGGGCGCUUAAAGAUACUCUUUCUCAGACCCCGCAUAGUGCGGGAAGCCUACGGCACUGGGUACGCCCUUUAUAUUUUAUGUGGUGAAAUAAGUAUUAUAGUUACAGUUAUUUUCCAUGGUUUCCUGGAGUAUAAACAAUUGUUCUCUGAUAAUUGUUCAAUAACUGAGGUUUUGAGUUGCCACAAUGUGUUUUUACUGUGGAUGCGUUUUGGGUUCAUGUACUACACAUGUAAAAUGUUUUUUCUAAUUUUUUAAUGUCUUAUUUUAUUCCAGGCUCUCCUACAUGCCAGUGUUGCCUGUUCGUUAAAGCCAUCUAUCCAGUGGAUUGCAGCUUCGGAUCUUGAAGAUGCAACUGCAAUAUCUGUAAGCCACUAGCCAUGUGUUCUAAGAUUGGCUGCAGUAACAGCACUGCAGUGUUUCAGUGGUUAUUUUUUUUUGGUCGGGGGCCUCCGGUUGGUUAUGUUAGUAUCCCAUAGCAUUUUUAUUUUUUUGCAGCUCAACUUUUCUGUAUCAAGCUUUUUCUACUUUCAGUUUCGCAUUUGUAGCUACACUCAAUUUCUUCCUAUUACAUUGCCUGUCCUUUCUUUGUAUAUGUUACUGCAUCCCGUGAUGACAAUUUUUUCAAUAGGCACCAGAUGCCCAUGCUGAAGCCUGGGAAACUCUUAAAGUGAGUAUGCCAAUUAUAUUUCUUUACUAUAUUGAAUAUGCAAAUUCAAUUUUAAAAGUUAAUAUUAAUGAAAUCUGAAAAUUGUAGGGUUCAUCAUGCAUUUUGAUACCUGGAGGAUUUGGGGAUCGUGGAAUUUCAGGGAUGAUAUUGGCUGCAAAAUAUGCUCGUGAGAAUAGAGUUCCAUAUCUUGGUAUUUGCUUGGGCAUGCAGAUAUCAGUGAUUGAGAUUUCCAGACAUGUGUGUUUGCUUCCAUUUUUGCUUUUACUUAAAACUAUCCAUAUAGAUUCAUAAUUUUAUUAUUAUAUGCUUUUCUAGGUCCUGGGCCUGGAAGAUGCAGACAGUGAGGAGUUUAACAAGGAUACACCGAAUCAUGUUGUUAUGUACAUGCCUGAGGUACUUCCUUUUCUGUUAAGUUUAUGGAAGAGACAGGACUUUGAAAAGUUUGAUCUACUACCUUGAUAAUGAACUAUUCAGGUUUCAAAAACACAUAUGGGAAACACGAUGAGGUUGGGCUGCAGGAGAACAUUCUUCAGCAAACCUGAUUGUCUUACAUCAAAAUUGUAUGGGCAUUGAUUCUUUCUUGGUUAAUAUCAUACUAUUUUCUUUGGUACUACUGCAUGUAGCUUGUUUGGGAACUCAAUCCAUUGUUGUCCACGCUGAUAAAUGCGUUAUGUAGUUGUGUUAUGUAGAGCUUUCCUUACUUGGUAGUGACUAUAUUUUUGCCUAUCACAUUUCCAAAGGUGGCUUCUCUUUGGUCGAGAUUUGGUGCAAGCCCCUGGUUAUUGACCAUCUUUAACGUUUGCCCUGUAUAAAAAUCUAUUGCAUGUUCUCACUUGGACUAUUGAUUGGAACUUUUAGGUACGGAAGUCCUCCACAUGUAGAUGAGCGUCAUCGUCAUAGAUACGAGGUUUGUCAUCAAUCUUUGUUUCUAAACGUCCUAUUGGUUAUUAUUUUUUAUGUACAUUGCAAUCAUAUGCUUGGAACCGAUUACUUGUUUCUUUUACCUAUUUAUUAUAGGUCAAUCCCUCUUUUGUUCCCAUGCUUGAAAGUGCUGGUCUUCAUUUUGUUGGUUGUGACGAAAGUCGAAACCGGAUGGAGGUACUAAGCAAACAACAUAUGCUAUUCUUGGGUUUUGAUUUUUUUUUUCGAAAGUCUGAACCUGCUUGCACCUAUGAGCAGAUUGUGGAGCUACAAGAUCAUCCCUUCUAUGUAGGUGUUCAGUUCCACCCGGAGUUCAAAUCAAGGCCUCGAAGACCUUCACCUCCUUUUACAGGUGAAAGCCUUUUUUAUUGUUGAAAAAAAUAACAACUUGCAAAAUCGAAAUAAAAAGUUGUGAAAAUUACUUAGAGCCCUUACAAGUUACAACUGAUCUAGUAGAAUUUGCAUUACAAUGCUUCUUUGAUGAACUGUACUAGUGUCAGAGUUCUUUCUAGUUUUUAGUUACCUGCCCUCCAAAGUAAAAUUUGUUGUGCAGGACUGAUAUUAUUUGUUUUGGGACUACGCAUGUCUAUACAAUGCUUCUUUGAUGAACUGUACUAGUGUCUGAGUUCUUUCUAGUUUUUAGUUACCUGCCCUCCAAAGUAAAAUUUGUUGUGCAGGACUGAUAUUAUUUGUUUUGGGACUACGCAGGUCUAAUAAUGGCGGCCACUAAACAACUGGGAGCAAAUUCGAAUAGCUCGAAUGGCUUCGUUGGAGCUUCUGACUAAUGUAAGGUAAAGCGUUCCGAAACUUGGUGAUUCCCCAAAGGUAUUUUCUCUGUGUCAGUGUAUGUAACUAAUGUUUCUGAACAUUCGGUUUAUGGAUGCAACUAUUGUUUCUUCUGCAGAUGGGGAUCUCCCGUUGCUGCAGACACCCAAGUUAUUUCUUGUGCACAUUAGAUGUACAGGAAAACAAUCUAAGCCUGAAGCAGAGUGUUUCUCUCUCUCGACCACCUGAGUGGCGUAAGCUAACGGUCUUACAGUGUAUUGGGGCCGAACCGUCAUGGUUUUGUUGACUGUCAUUUCAAUUGAGCUUAACAGCAGUCAGUGCUCCCAUCCUUGUGAUUCCAAUUGAGAUUAACAGUAGUAAGUGAUUAUGAUCUCUCUUGCCGUUUGAGUGGAAGUGAAAGACACUACCAUCCAGUUUUUGGUUGUUAUUUGUUCUGAUUUUUUUGUGUUUGUUUUCUAUACAAAUGUGAAAAACAUAGAAUAUAAAAAACAACCGUGAUGGGUCUUUCAACCCUUUUUUUUGAAUGAACAGUAGGGCUAUAUUAAAAGAAAAUAGCUCAAAGAAGUUACAAAAAUGAAAUCACAGAAAUAAAAUUACAAAAGUUAAGGCAGAUUUGUUCUCCAAAGUUUAGUAGCAGAGAAAUUCUUUUUCUGCUGCAUCCUAUGCAAGAGAAGAUAAAAAACAAGAGUGAUGGGUCUGAUCCAUGGAAAAAUUAUUCAUUUCUCUGCUUCCAGAUUGUCCAAGUUAAAAGAAUGAUAAUGUCCAUCGCAAAAAGAACUGCUAGCUUUGAUUUGAUCUAGAUUAUUGCUUGGGAGCCAUUGACAUGUCCGGAGAAGGAAAUAUUAAUCUUCCUCAGCAUCUUCUAGCGAAAUUGCACCUAAAAAAAUAUGUGGCCAACAAUUUCAGAUUUUUGCCAAAUACACAUUUCACAAUCAUAGGAAUCUAGGGAAAAGUUUUUUUUUGCAAUGACUCGUGUUUAAUCUGUUGUUGAGAAGAAGCAAAAAAAAUUAUGCUUGAGUUGUGCUGAAGACCUCUAGAGCCAUUUGAUGAUUGGGUGAGUAGAGCAAUCCUCCAAAAGGAUUUUAUAAGUUCUUUUAACUGAGAAAAAUUGUGAUUCCCAAAUGAAAGUCCAUUUAUCUUUCUCAUGUCUAGAGUCAACCAAAGAUUCAUUAAUUGUCACACCCGGUUCCGGGAGCAGAGCUGGAUGCAUAGCAUAUGUGUGCCAUUAUCUAUUUACACACAUAUGUUAACCUCACAAGUGUAAUAUAUUAAAAGAACAAUGCAUAGAAGCGUAAAUAAUGAUUAUAUUAGCAUAUUACACUUCGAACAGACAUAAUGUCUUAACCUUUAUUCAUCAAAGUACAGCGAAACAUGGACAUCCAUCCACAGGAAGAUGACCGGGGUAUCACUAGACUAGCAUCCAUGGAGUUCAGCAUCAUAACUUCAUCUGUUAACUUCUGAUCAAAAUUAAGCAAGGGUGAGCUCACUUAUGGUCGGGGCUCAGCAAGCGGGGAUGCAAGUUUAACAAGGUGAUGCUAAGAUUGAGCAGUAAGCAUUUUAGUUGGUCAACAUUUUAUUAACAACACCUGUCUUACUAAUAAGUGUGAAAUUCCAAGUAUUCCCUUUUAAAUAAAGGUAUAAGAGUAUAUCAAAAACACUUAAGUGAAACCACUUAAACAAACCAUUGGUUGGAUCACUGGCGCGGGCUUCAGCGGCUCGGAUUCCUGGCAGCGAGGUCACGCGGUCGCUCGGCGUCGGGACUCGGAUCCUGGGCGCGGGUCCUGGGUAGGGAUGGCAAUGGGGAAUUCCCCGCCGGGGAAUAGCUCCCCAUACCCAUCCCCGCGACGAAAAAAUUUCCCCGCGGGGAUCCCCACGAACGCUUGCGGGGAACAUUUCUUCCCCAUCCCCGUUCCCCGCGGGGAUAAAUCCCCAACGGGGAUCCCCAUCCCCGUUAAAAUUAUAAUUAAUACAUACGUUCUUUGUUAUUAAUGUUAAACAUUAUCACUUAUACACAUUGUCAGAUGUAAGAAAUCAUUAUGUAUACAUCAAAAUGAACACAUUUGUACAAUUAGUGGUCUCUUGACAAGGUAAUUAUUUAUUUUUGUUGUUAACCGGUACACAAAAACAUAGUCACAUGCAAGUUAACGGGUCCCCACGGGGAACGGGGAUGGGGAAUGCUUCCCCGUCCCCAUCCCCAUUUACCCGUCGGGGGAUAAACUUUCCCUGUUUAUAUCCCCGCGGGGGAAGUUUCUUUCCCAUCCCCAUCCCCUAAUGGAUGAAUUCCCCGCGGGGAAUCGGGGAUCGGGUCCCCAUUGCCAUCUCUAGUCCUGGGCGCAGGUGGUCAAGCGCGGCGCGACUGGUUGCCUGGGCGCUGUGCAGUCGGGGCUGGGCACCUGGCGGCUGUGCAGGGAAGAGAGCGAGGGGCUCCUGGCGGCACGCGGGGUAGAGACAGGGAGAGGGCGCUGGAUGGAGAGAGAAGGGAUGGGCGCAGGUGGGUCCCACACGCAAGAGAGAGAAGUGGGGGAGUAAGGAGUGGCAGCGACGACUGGGAGGAGGCAGGGAGCGGCGGCUGGGAAUAAGUUGGGCCCCUAGUGGGCCUUAGGGUUAGGUUAGGGUUUAGUUUUCCUUUUCUUUUUUUCUUUCUUUUUUUCUAUUUUCUUUUCUAAAUUCAAAAUAUAUUUUUAAAUAAUCCUAAAAUUCAUAAUAAUUAUACCAAAAUUAUUUGUAAAUGAAAUAUUUAUUUUGGACUAGUCAUUAUUAUAUUAUUUACUAGGAUUUUCAUUUAAGAAGAAAUGCUAUUAAAAUUCAAAAACAAUCAUGAACAAUCAAAAAUUAUUCCAAAUGCAAAUAAAUAACAAACAUUUGAAUGAAAAAAUUAUUGCCAUAAUUACCAUUAAUAAAUAAAUGCAUUAUUUUUAUUUGAUGAUUUUUAUAGUGUUACAAAUCUACCCUACUUAAAAGAAUCUCGUCCUCGAGAUUAAGGAAAGGCUAGCACGAAAGCAAAGGAGAUACAUGGUUAUUUGUAGGUUCUUAGUUCACAUUGAUAGCAAGCUUUUCUUGAAGUUAUUUCUUGACUUUUUCCAUGUUUCCCUUUUUGUUUCUUGGACCUGAUGCGACCACGAGGCUGAAACUGUGUGCAAGUAAUAGUCCAUCCAUCAAUGUAAUACUCCUGUGUUUCUUCUUGGGGCUGUGCAUCCUUGUGAUGUUUCCUUUUUGGAAUACUUUGCAAUUCAUCAACUGACAGUGCAUUAGGUAUGAGAGACUGCUAUUAGUUGUUCAUAGGAGACAUCUGUCUUUUUAUGCCAGAAAAUAAAAUCUGGUUCUUCUGUUUUGCAGUUUCACUUUCAUUUGCAUUGAUUUGGCGAUAAGGAAUUCCAUAGUACUCACAACAACAACAUGUUCCAAGGUCACUUAUCUGUUGGUUUGGUUGUGCAUCCUUUUGUGUCUUGAAUGUUUGUUCAUCAGCUGUUUUAUUUAAAGUGUUGUUUUGACUUGCCAACACACCACAUUCUUUGCAUUUAGUGACAUCACUUGUAGUUGACAUUCCAAGGUCUGACAUCUAUAUGGGUAUGGAAGAAUGGAAGGGACGAAAGGGUUGAGCAAAGACAUAUUAUAGAGAGUGGAGAAAACCCAUCUAUCUAAGGUUUUACCUAGCUAACUAAUGCCAUUGUGGACAAAAGUCACACAAUACACCAACAAUAAUUUCAAAGAAACAAAUCAAACAUGAACACAAAGGACAAUGAACUCAAGCAUACUAGCACAACACAAUCCAAUUCUACUCAUUCAACCAAAACAAAAGGUGAGACAAGGUUUGGAAUAAGAAAGAUAUUAUAAAGUCAAGGAGUCAGGUAAGAAAUAACAAGUAGUUAGACAAGACUUAUUUGUUGGUGGCCAAGAGAGAAAUAAGAUAACCAUGAACUAUUAAAGUGAGGAUAAAUGAUACAACCAAGGAUAUGAAGUGAGUUAGGGAGAAAGCAUUAUCAAGGAGAAAAGUAGAGGCAAAGAUUUAAUAUAUCAAGGUAGAUAUUGCGCAAGGGUGGCAAUACAAUGGCAAGAAAACAAAAGUAUAAGAAGUCAAGGGUUAUAUAGUAAUAUUAGGGAUUAGAAAACCACUAUGAUAUAAUAUCGCCCUUACCGAACUAGUCGAAAAUCUUAAUACUAAAGAACAAUCCUAUCAACCUAGCCAAGAAGUCAAAUAAUAGGUCUAGGGGAUCCAUAACAAAACUUCUUGCGGAGUGGGGAUAAGACAGAGAAUAGGGCAUCGUCGAUAGCUUCGAAAGGGUUUCUUCUGGCAAACUUCGCUUCAAGUUCCAUAAUCUUGCUUGAUCAUUUUGCAAUGCUUCUCAUUAGAACCUUCUGAUAGACGACGAAUCAGACAAGAAGGGUUGAAGAUAAAAGAGACGAGUUUUGAUAUAAAGUAAGUUUUUAUGGAGACAAUUAAGUCAAGUUUUGAACGACUGACUGGGCUUUCCAUUUCUAACUAAUCUAGAGACCUACGGUCACAUUGCUUUGAUACCACUUCUGUCACACCCGAUUCCGGGGGGCAGAGCCGGAUGCAUAGCAUAUGUGUGCCAGGAUCUAUUUCCACGCAUAUGUUGACGUCACAAGUGUAAUAUAUCAAAAGAACAAUGCAUAGAAGCAUAAAUAACGAUUAUAUUAACAUAUUACACUUCGAACAGACAUAAUGUCUUAACCUUUAUUCAUCAAAGUACAGCGAAACAUGGACAUCCAUCCACAGGAAGAUGACCGAGGGUAUCACUAGACUAGCAUCCAUGGAGCUCAGCAUCAUAACUUCAUCUACAAACUUCUGAUGAAAAUUAAGCAAGGGUGAGCUCACUUAUGGUCGGGGCUCAGUAAGUGGGGUAAAAACUAAUGCAAGUUUAACAAGGUGAGGCUAAGGUUGAGCAGUAAGCAUUUUAGUUGGUCAACAUUUUAAUAACAACACCUGUCUUACUAAUAAGUGUGAAUCCCAAGUAUUCCCUUUUAAACAAAGGUAUAAGAGUAUAUAAAAAACACUUAAGUGAAAACCACUUAAGCAAACCAUUGGCAGAUCAUCGGAUCUCGAUUUAUUUCCAUCUUCAAGUUCAAUUAUCAUGUGAGGAGUCCAGGCUGCUCAUAACCGUGAGCACGACUGAUAUAUCAGUUUUACACUCUGCAAAGGUGGCACAUCUUUACCCAUGAGUCACGAUUCCCUUUUAGCCCGGGUUAGCUAGACCCGUAUUCACUUCCGAGGUGACUGGCUAGGGUCUCACUACGAGGCUUUUCCCUAGAGUCCUCAUUAUGCAAAUGCUGGAAAUGGUCAAACUGCAUAAAGCACACCUAACGUAACCAACUUAUAGUCCAGUCUGCAGGGUAAAGCUUUGGGAACUAUGCCCACAUCCAAUCUGCCUGAGCCGGAACUAUAAGCGUUUGCCAGAUGCCCCCGUUCCAGUCGACCACGACCAACACCCAACAUAAGACUUCCCUAGUUAUUUAGCCAAGGGCGUCCCAUACCACCCUCAUGGUAGCACUGUUUUCUCGGGUGGUCACUCCAUGUUCCAAUUAAAUCAUAUGAUCUUGCUUAAUCGUCGGAUUAGCAACAAUAAUGUGAACUUACCAUUUGGAACAUUAAUAUCACAAACCGGAGUGACUGCAUAAAGUUAAGUUGUAGCAAUAGCACAACUACUUGAUUAGAUCAUAAUCCCAGGUUAAACAAGGAGUAAGGUUGGAAAGGUUAGGGGUAUCUAAAUAGGUAACCCAUCAAAUUAUGCAUAUAUAUAUAUAUAUAUCCAAGAAUAAACUUUAUUAAAUGUAUUGUUUGGGAUCAAACAGAGUAUGCAGAGGGAGAAGUCCACUUGCCUUGCUUAUAGAAAACUUGAGUUCUUCCACGGAUAGGAAUAGAUCUUGAUUCUUAACUACUAGAUCAACCAUUGAAUAUCACACAAACAAACAAGAAGAACAAACACCACUCAAUAACAUACAACAUUCACCAUACGUAAAGCUAAAAGAAAGGCUAACGAAAAGAGCAUUCAUUUUUCAAAAACAUCGCAAGUAAUGGCUAUAAUAAGAGGGUAUUCUUUUAAAAAAUGUGUGAUCUAUACUUUAUAAAACAAGACAUGAGCUUAAAAUAUCUUAAUUAAAAUAUACAAAUAUUAGGUUCAUCAAAUUAAUCUUUUAUAAAACGUCAUAUGUGAUAUGUCUAAGAUUACGGGUUUAUAAGAUGAUAAAACACGAUAUAACGAUGUUAAACCUUUUUAACCUUUUUAGAAAAGAUAUAUGUUAUAUAUCUAAGGUUAAUGGGCUACGAAAUACGUUAUUAAUUUUGGAAGCAUUAUGGAACAUCUUAUAAAUCAUUGUUAAACAUUCACUUAUGAUAAACUAAGAUAUAAGUCUAAAUAGGUUUUAUGUGAAAAGAUCAUUAUUAUUAAACCUAUUUUAUGAAAAGCUAGGUUAUAGGCCAUUAAGUGGAUUUUCAUGCAAAAAGAUAAUGAACAAAUAACUAUCUUUUAAUUUUAUUAGAAAACACAUAGCCUAUAUUAUUAUAUUCGAAAUCAAUAUAUAAAGUAACAUUUUAAGUUAUGAAAGAACUUAAACUCUUAUUACAUUAUUUUAUCCUUUAGGAAAAGCUAAGUGAUUCGUAUAUAAUGUGGACUAAAUUCUAUGAAAUCAUUAAUCAUGCCAUAAAUCUAAUUAAGAACAGUGACUAUAUGUUUGAUUAAUAAAUUAUGAUAAUGGAUAAUUAAUCUAUUAAUUAUCUUUAAUUCUAUUGUAGGAACAAAUGAUCUAAUUCAUUAGAAAGGAAAUUAUGUAUAACCUAUCAUUUUAGUUUAUAAAAGCAAUGACCCUUGUUAUCUUUUAAUUAAGAAAAUAUAAAUAAUCUAUUAAUUGAACAUAUAUUUAUCUUCUAUUUUUAUUAAGAAACAUAUGGUCUACAUAUUCUUUUAAGUUUCUAUUUAAUAUGGCUAUACUUAAACAUCUAUCCCGAACCUUGUUAAAUAUAUGAUAUCUAUUAAAAGGUCAUUUUAAACUAGAAACAAGUUAUCUAAUUCAUUAGUAAGAAAUCUAUAUUUACCAACAUAACUAUCAAUUUCUUUAUUAGAAAAGUAUGAGUGCGUAGUUAAGUCAUUUUAACACUAUUAUAAAAAUUCUAUUCUUUCGGUUUUUCUCCUUUCUUUCUUAAGUAGAAAUUAUACGUAUCGUUACAAUGUUUAUUUCUAAAUCACCUUUCAUUAAUAUUCUAAGAAUUAAUGUAGAUUAAUAAAUGGGACUUUUAAUAACAUAUUUAUGGUUAUUAUGACAUAAAUAAAUAUUUUACUAAUUCUAAGUAAUUUAAGUGCUAUACUUAUGAAUACAUUUAUUAUGAAUAGUAACAUCUAUAUUUUCAUUUGACUGAAAAUACGUGGUCUAGUAUUUCUUAUAUCAAUAAAAUUAUACUUAUGUCAAUAUUAAUCAAUAUCAUUCCAUGUGCUAAAGCGAGGUUUAAUUGUAGACGUAUUCUAGUAUGAAAAUUGACCGUAUUCAUUUUAAAAUUAUAAAAUCAUACAUCUGUCCGAAGUAUUGUCGCGGGGUUCGAUUUUGGUUACACGUAUACAUCGAAAUCUCUAAAAUCAUACACGUAUACACAUAUCACGAAAUUAAUUGAAUUCGCAAACCAGGGGCUAAAUCGCAUAUUUGCCUUCUUCUACCUUGGAGUUUUUGUUCAUGCGCAGGAAUGGUGGUCGACGAGUAGGGAGGGCUCGGCGGGCAGGGGAACGGGCGCGAUCGUCGUAAUACGCGAACGGAGCUCCGACGGGGCUCCACGGACAGUGGGGCGGACGACGACGGCGUGGGCGAGCAAGGAGUGUGAGAGAGAAGGGCGAGCUUGGGUAAGGAGAAGGGAGAGAGAGGAGCUCGGGGAGGAAGAGAGGAAGGGAGUCCCGAAUUUUAUAGGGAGGGAGAGCGGAGAUGAGAGGGCGCCGAGUGCUUCAAGGCGGUCAUCAAUGGCGUCAAUGAAGAGAGGGAGUAAUGGGGGAAGGAAACAUAAGCAUUGAAGGUCCAAUAAUGCGGGGAGAAGAACAGACGACGUGGUCGCUUGGGCGCUGGCGCGGUCGGUUCGGCUGACGCGGGCUUCAGCGGCUCGCAUUCCUAGCAGCGAGGUCACACGGUCGCUCGGCGUCGGGACUCGAAUCCUGGGCACGGGUGGUCAAGCGCGGCGCGACCGGUUGGCUGGGCGCCUAGCGGCUGUGUAGGGAAGAGAGCGAGGGGCUCCUGGCGGCGCGCGGGUUAGACACAGGGAGAGAGGGCGGGAUGGAGAGAGAAGGGAUGGGCGCGGGUGGGUCCCACGCGCAAGAGAGAGAAGGGGGAGUAAGGAGUGGCGGCGGCUGGGAGGAGGCAGGGAGCGGCGGCUGGGAGUAAGUUGGGCCCCGAGUGGGCCUUAGGGUUAGGUUAGGGUUUAGUUUUCCUUUUUUUUCUAUUUCCUUUUCUAAAUUCAAAAUAUAUUUUUGAAUAACCCUAAAAUUCAUAAUAAUUAUACCAAAAUUAUUUAUAAAUGAAAUAUUUAUUUUUGGAAUAGUCAUUAUUAUAUUAUUUACUAGGAUUUUCAUUUAAGAAGAAAUGAUAUUAAAUAUUCAAAAACAAUCAUGAGCAAUAAAAAAUUAUUCCAAAUGCAAAUAAAUAACAAACAUUUGAAUGAAAAAUUUAUUGCCAUAAUUACCAUUAAUAACUAAAUGCAUUAUUUUUAUUUGAUGAUUUUUAUAGUGUUACAUUAAUCAAAAGGAGAUUUUGUAAUUGGGUGAAUGCUUGCUCUGAUAAUGGCAAAUGAAAGUACUCUUGCCAUGAACGAAGCAAUCUGAAGCCCUUCAGAGUGAUAUUCUUAUCCUUAGAGAAGGAGCAAAGCUGAUGAAGUAAAAUAUUCAAUGGUUGAAAAGUCCAAAGAUCCUUCCAAAGAAGAACAGUAGAACUGUCUCCUCGCGAAACACGAGCAAUACCCUUGAACGAGUUACUCAAUGAUAAGAUCAUUUUCCACCAAGGUGAGUCUAGAAGUCUUCAAAGAAAGGUUGCAAUCAAGGAAAUAAUUUUUCCAAACAAGAUUAAUCCAAGGGAUGGGCUCUUUGUUGUAGAAUUUGUAGAGAUGUUUCAAGAGCAGACCUCAUUUUGACAUUGCACCUCAUUUUGACAUCUAGUAUUUGUUGGGGGCCUUCAUCGUCGAAGGUCCUCGAAACGACAACGUCAUCAGUAUAACAAGCUUUGGUGCUCAUAUAAAGUAAUAAGAUUCACCUUCGUCCAAGCUGAUGCCUAAAGAGGGGAUGAAGCCAAGAAGCUUCGACUAUGUAGAAGCAUUGUGUCAAGCAAGGCGAAGAAGAGAGCUUCAAUUGUUAUAUAGCGAACUAUGAAGCAAAGGGGAAGGUAAAGAUCCAGAGGAAUCAAUCAACAUGACAAAUGAAGGAAAAGGACGAUUUUACGCUCACAAGUUUUGUAGUUGACAUGUAUAGGGCAUGUAUAUAUGUUUGUAAUUUUAUACGAAGCUAUACCCAGCAACUAUAAAUAGAGAAACAAUGUCAUACAUUGGGAAUGCUUUUUUGGCUUGCAUUGCCCCGCCUACGAAGCUCCCUUUCUCUUACCUUCGAGUAGUUGCUACUAAGGUCGAAGGUACAUUUGUAAUCAUUUAUUGAAUUGUGACACAUGAAGCAAAAGUGACAGCAUACUAAGAUGAGUAAAUCAUUUUGUUUCAUUCAAUGUAUGAUUUAUUUUUGUUGUCACUAUUCAAUGUUUCUAACCUUCUCUCUUUAAUUAAUCUUCGAAGAAGAAUUAAUAGAGAAGCUUGUGAUACAUUCUUUGUGUUGCCUCGUUUUUUAAUACCUUUUAGGGAUAAAAGUGAGUGAUCAACAUUGGCACCCACCUUCGGUGAUUCGCGACCACGAUGAAGAGCAUGGCAAGCCCUAAAGCUUCAUCAUCAAGCUCGAAGAAGCCUGUGUUCCCUAUCAAUGGGAGAUCAACUUUCGAACCAAGCAAUAAAAAACAGAAAAAAGAAGCCCGGAGAAGGGUGUAGUAUGUGGGUGUUCAAGGGCCUUACAUCAAAACAAAAUUGUCCCAUAUCCCAAUAACUUUUUCUCAAGAAGACCUUCACCUCAAAGAUUACCCACAUAGAGAUGCUAUGGUAAUCUCAUGGUUCGGCCAAGGCUGAAAUGCUUGCCUAGUUCAUGUUGGAGUUAGCCAACCUGGCUUCGAAGCCAUUUCAAUUCCUUCCUCUGUUUGCUCAGAUCUGUCACUAGGUGGUAGAUCGAUGCUUCAAUUAUGUCGAGGUCGGUUACAACAGAGUUGCGACUAUUUACAAGUCUUCAUCACUCCGGCAAAGUAAUAGUACUCCCUUGCUCAAGAUCUUGCUCACUCUAGCAGCAACACUUCUCUACUCUCUCUUGGCUUAUAACUGCAACAACACAUGAACUACAGAGAAAAACACAAGAAAGGGAGACAAAGUAGAUUUGUAGUGUGUCUACAAUUUGUUGCUACACUUGGGAGCCUUGGACUACUGAAAGAGGACGCCUAAGGGGUCCUUUUAUAGCCUCAAGGAGCAUAGGAGCCGUUGCCUUGUCCAAAUGGAACCUAGAAAACUUCCCUUUCUGUGGGCUCACCAGACCAUUUGGUGAGCCAUCGAACCAUCCACAGUAACGGUUAGUAGAUCUCCUGAUUAGCGCCUUUCCUUAGUUGGGUGGCACCAGACCGUCCGGUGACGUCAGCUAGCCAUUGGGUGCCGAACGAAGGCUAGAAGUAGCCGUUGGAGAAGUGGUCAGUGCAUAUCGGACCAUCCCGUGAAUUUUAUAAAUAAAAUUCUUGAGACCGAGCAGUACAGUUGGGUUGCACGGACCCCGUCAGGUGCAGCCCAGACCAGAGCAAGCUAAGCUCUUUUGAGACAAACUUCUCCAAACGAUCUCAACUCUUUGGAGGACUUUCCUAAGACUUAGACACACAUUUAGAGUAUAAACCAAUUGACUAGGUCCUAGAAAGUUACCUCUUUCCCAUUCUUCUCAUAACUUUUCUGUUUCUCCUCAAACAGAUCCUAGAAUGACACUUUCUCUACAAAUUGAGUUAGAGAACAAACCAAAGUACCAAACAUGUAGUAAAAGGUGUAUGCAACAUAGUUGAAUGUUCAAACCUUGCAUACUUAACAUUUUUCACCGUUAUACCCAUUUUGUUCUGUUUGAGGUCGACGUUGGACUCCAAACCAUCAGGUCGACUUGAUUUGAUCUAGAUUGUCAUCUAUGAGCUCCAACACCCUACAAAGGUCACAUAAAACACAUUCAAACAUAGAAACAACCCAAACUAAAGGUUAAGGUAAACUUAGCUCUUUUGGGUUGCUUCUAGGUUCUGGCUUUGACACUACUCCUGCCUCUAGUGACCUUGUUCACUUCUUGAGCUUGAUCUUGAGCCUUAAGACUUACACCACAUAACCAUAGGUAUUACCUCAUUGGCUGUAAGUCAUGUCCUUAAGUCAUGAUCCUCGAUGCACCAUAUCUCUUCACAACUCGAUCAACCUUGACUUUGCAAGUCUUCUUCUUCACCCCUGGCUUUGGGUACCUCAGCCUUCUUGACCUUCUGUCAUGCACUCGGUACCUCGAAGUUCUUUCUGCCUCCAUCCUUGGCUUGACCAGUUGUCUCCAAGUUAUGCACACCGAGUUUCACAUAAGAAAUGCACAUCCUUCACUUAGAUUGUGAUAUUCACUACCAUAGUCAUCUCGGCCUUUGAACCAUCACACUUGAUCACUUGUGUUGAACCUUGUAAGUUUUGUACUAAGCACCUAUUCAACACUUAGCAACACAUAUCGAUCCUUUAAUUAGGUUGUCAUCCAAACCACCAAAUCCCACAAGGGAGCUUUCAAUCUUGCCCUUUUUGGUGAUUGAUGGCAACACGAUCGAAGCUUACACAAGAUAUGAAAUUAAAGCACAAUUUUGAAUUAUAAGCUAUAGAAUGCCCCCUAAAUAUGUGCUUACAUGGAAAUCUCUACUUUGGCCUCAUAUGCCAAUUACACAUACUUAGGCUAAGUGUGAAGCAUUACUACAUCUUAGCAUUCGUUGGGGUGCAUUGUGUUAGGAAUCAAAUCUUGAUGCGUACGACACACAAAUGCACAUAAUCAGAGUUAAGCACCAUAUAAACACCAAUUUAAAAGAUGUAAUACUAGGAUAUCAACCCAUCACAAUACACCAUAAAAAUACCAAUUAAAACACCAUAUCAAUACAUGAUUAUCUAUUAACAGGAUAAGCAAAUAGCACCAUAAAUUCCAAUUGAUCUACAACACAAAAGCAACUAAAGACGAUGCUACACCAAGAUCAUAUCAACUGUAAGAUUAAGCAUCGAUUAGCAACAAAAACAACAAUAUUGCAUUAUCACCAUAUAAUCAACAGUAAGAGCAUGAUAAGCAUUAUUUACACCUAAUACAUUCUCCCCCUUAAGAUCAAAAGGAAAUCUUGGAAACCCCACCUUAACCAAGGUGAGCUCAUACUCAAUACAAGGUUAAGAUUUGAUCCCUUUAGCACACGAACACCUUCACCCUUAAGAUACACUUCCCUCUCAGGUCGAGAUAAACUUUAAUGCACAAAUUCUCCCCCUUUGACAUCAAACACCAAAACCAUAUAACAAACAAGAACAUAGCUUGAUGUGAAGGGACAUUAGGGUACGAAGCAGGGAAAUGCAUCACACUUACAUUACUCACACUUAAAACUUAAAAAUAUGCAACACAAGCAUCAGAGGGAAUCAAGGUACAAAUACUCAACAUAAAAGUGAUAAUACCUUCUUUUGUACCUUUGUUACAUUUACAAAGUCAUGGUACCCUUUCCAUCCAAAUCAGUGGUUCCCUUUGCCAUAAGAGUUUCCCAUUUGAAGAUUCCAUCCCCAGGGAGCUUCCCCACACUUGUGUCUGAUCCUUUACCCUGAUCUUUCCUUGUUGCUAAGACACUAGACUUAGAACAAGUUAUAGCAUUGUGUCACGUGAUAAACUCCUACUCGAGAGAACACCAAAGGGUACCAAAUGAAAGAUUACUACACAUGUAAACCACUAAUAGGCACCUCACAACUCCAUGAUAUUAAACGAGAAGCAUAUAGGAUCACCAACUAGCAUGGACAAACAACAAUAACUAAUGAGCAAGACCAUUCCUUAAAUAACUCACAACUUUAGAUACCAAUUUACACGAAUUCGUAGAGGUACCCAAGUCCGAAUUGCUCCACAACUUGCUCAACUUCCUUCUUCCACCUUGAGAUUAUAUAAUAUCACUCAAGAAACAGAUAAUCUCAAAGGACACAAGUUAUGUGUGCUCCCCUUAAAGAUUUGCAUCAAGUUUUUGAGUAACUUGUACCUUGCACAUUCUAGCAUUUUGCAUAACUAGAGGGGUGCACCACAUACCUUGGUCUAGACAUAACAAAAUAUCAAUUUUCAUCACGCAUGAAUAUCAAUUGAAUAAAUGAUAGAAUUCAACCAAUAUCUAGUAGAAUCAUAGCAGAGCAUGCCACAAUACAUUAAUAUCCUACUAGGCAAGCUACACACCAGAUGAUCAUUACAACUCAUAUAUCAAUUGAAACUAUAGAUCACCAAAAGCAUCAUGCAAACUUAAUUCUAUGCGUGUCAUCAUCGAAGGGAAAAGAUCACUUAAGCAGCCUAAUUGAAAGAAUCAUCACAUUCCUAAGCAAUCUUAUUGCAAAUUGAUAAGCAUUACCAUCAUGAGCACAAUUUAUGGAAUUACAACAUACCAAGUGAUUUGCAUAGUUCCAUAUUUCAUGCCUUUGUCCUUUUAUCUGAAUAUUAAAAAUCCACUCUUAAGGCAAUAUGAAUUGAGAGCACCUUGAUACCAUGUAACACCCCGGGAUCCACAAACACCCCAGAAUGCUACUAAACUACACAUCUAAUAUUCAUAUAUAAAAUUUCGACAGCAUCUCCUUUGAAAAUUGCAUAAAUGGGGGAAGCAACAAAGUAUAAAUAGAUAUCAUGAUAAGAAAACAUAUAAGACAUUAAUAAUCUGCUAGCAAUGGGAAGACAACCAUAACAACAUGAACUGAAUUAAUCAGUGCACACGACUAGUUAAAAACAAACAUCCUUUGACAAGAAGUUUCUAAUUAAAUCAUGGCUGCGUCUGGGCAGCAUUAUUAUGAGAAUGAAGGUGGAUGUGCUGCUACUUCCCACUCCCCUUGAUGAGCAACAAGCAUCUGCAUUGAGUAAUGCAAGAGUGAGAUGAAACAUCUCAGCAAGCUAAUUGUUCUGACGAGAUAUUUAAACCACAAAUUGAAUUCAUCAACAUUUUAAAAGAGUCACAAUUAAAAAUCAGAAAUGCUUGUAGAUAUAGAACUCAGUAGUCCCACUAUAACCAAUACCAUCUCAUUUCCUCGAACAACCACAAUAGGUUCUAUAACACUUCCCUGCGUCAACAAUACCUGCAAAUAUCACUUCAAUGUAUGCAUAGGAAUGCAAUGUGUAGGUACUCUAUCUUCAUACCUCUGGGGGUAUAAAACCACAUCAUCUGCAAAUAUCACUUCAAUGAAUGCAUAUGAAUGCAAUGCAUAUGUCCUCUGCCUUCAUACCUCUAAGGGUAUGAAGCCGCAUCGUACCCCUUCUCGGGCAACGUACGAUGCUAAGUUGUACCGGUACGGUCGAACCAUAGGUCACGACAAAACUUCAUAUGCAAAUGAGUCAUGCAAUGUAUAUGGCAUGCUACAUUUAUCAAUAAACUUCACUUCCUUCAGAUACAACACAAACCUCAAAUAAUACUUCAUUUACCUUCAGAUACAAUACCAACCUCAAAUAAUACUUCAUUUACCUUCAGGGGUGUGAAUUAAUCUCAUGAGUCAUACUCAAAUCAUAAUCAUCAUCAAUAUAUGAUUGAGCAUCAGUAUAAUGCAAGCAAGUAAAGCAUCACCAUAGAGUCCAAUUAUGAAAGAAUCUGAUACUUCUGAAUAUUAGAGUGUAGGCGAUAGAAAUAACAGGUCAGAACGGAAGCAACCACCGCUACAUUCACUUGCCUUCAUCGAAGAAGAAGAAAUGUACUAGACAUGAUCUGGAGUGUAGCCACCUGCUAGUGGGCAUAAAACUUAGUACAAAUAUUUCACAAACAUUUGCCAUCAAUCAACAAAACACUCCUACACUUGAAACCAAGACCCAGUGGAAAGACUCCCACCCUGAACCACAUGCCAUACAGCAGCAACGCUGUUUGUUAAUUUUGUAUCUUCAAAAUUAAAACAGCGGUGAUAUCAAACAAAUACUCCAGGAGUAUCUACACAAAAUACUCUACAACUUCAGUAUUCAAUAGAUAAUUAAAUUCUGCCAUCUACAAGUUCUAAAACAUCUGACAAGAUAACUGACUGAAUCUGUUUUAGACAGCAGUAUGGUUAACUUUAAAAUUCGAUAUCUCCAAAACUGCUGAACCAAAAAUUAUGAAAUUCUGCUGGAAGUAAGAACUUUUAUCCCUCUACAAAAGUCUCCAUAGUUGGAAGAGCCAAUUCGGCCAUUUACUAGAUGAAACCCACCAGUGAACAGACCCACUCAUUUUUGUCAGGUAAACAGGAACAGCCACAGUAAAACAAACAUAACUGGAGUUUCACAAAUCAUAUGAAUGCACUCUUUAACAAUCUGGAAAGCUUAUAAAAUUAUCUACAACUUCUUUUACCAACCCACAGUUUAAUUCUGUUGAUAAAAUUGCCUAAAUCUUAAGAGAACAGAUUCUGCACAGAAUUAUGAGACUGAAAAACUGCUAUAGUAAAACUGCAAUAACUUUCUGGUCGGAUGUCCGAUUGAGGUGUUCUUCGCGGCCACGGAAAGAUCUACAAAUUAUCUACGACUCAUACAUAGACUUUUUAUUUUUUUGAGGCCACUAAGACCACGGAAAACUGGCAUGAACAGAAACUGUCGAAUCUGCCAUUCUGCAGAAAACUAAAUUCGAGAUCAAAACCUAACCCCACAUCAAAUCCAACCUCUAAUCCUUUAAUUCCCAUGAUCCACAACCUCCAAAAGCCUAUAAUUACAGGGAGGAACAAGGAUCUCAUCCAUACCUAGGGUUUCCCCAAGAAAUCUUCAAGAGGAGAUGGGGAAGAACAUCUCCUUGAUCCUCUCUUCCUCUUCAAUUCAACGUGCCCCUCCUUUUCUCGAUCCUUGCUGCGUAGGGGGAGAUCUUGGGGGAGGAAGCAAUGGAGGAUGGCUGCCAUAGGGGGAGGGGGCGUCCAGCCAAGGGGGAGAAAAAGGGGGUGGCGGCCAAGAGGGGGGGGGGGUGAAGGGAAAAAAGGGGUGGCCACCUAGGGUUUUUGUGGGAGAAAGAAACGACGCCUCAGAUGACUUCUAUCUUUGCAUCCAAUGGCCCACAACCCUUUACCUCAUCCACGCACCAGAGAUUAACUUUUGGUCAACAUUUUUUUUGGGAUAUUACACUCUACCCCCCUUAAAAAGAAUUCAACCUCGAAUUCGGCCACUCCAAGCAAAACACCCAAGGUACCCCAUAUAGCACCACAAUUCAAAACAUGGGUCCAUUAUUGGUCUUAAUUAACACAAGAACUUCUACCUUGGACUAAUUGUCUAAGGAAACUACACGACCUGACAUCAAGCAUGAAACAUGUAAUGAAGCUCAAAGCAUGUCAUAGUUGCAAUCAACACUCCAAUUUCACACCAUCAAAUUUGGAUGCAGCUAUACAUCAACAUCAAUGUCUUAAGACAACACUCUUUUAUGAAGGGGUAAUAUGCACCAAGCACAACCCUUACCAACUUCAACCAUUAAUUUUAAUUAAAUGGUGAAACAUCUACACCCGACGAAUGUAUAAGAAGAUCAAACACCUCACCUUAAAGCACUAUGAAACAAGUAGUUCUAUUGGAACAAAACUCCUAAUCUUCCUAAACCUUAUUCUUGCCAUCAUGAAAAGAUAAUCAUGUAAUCUAACAUUCCUUGCACCCCACCAAAAGGGAGAAAAUCUAUAGAACUAAUGGAGCAAUAAAGCCAAAAGAAGCCAAUAACAUCUUGUGCGGCAUAGUUCAUCGAAGAAAUGCCAAAAACUCUACAUAGAGCACUGAUAGCCCAACAACAACACAAUACUUGCUUAACCCAUGUCACUAUACUUCAUUCAACAUCUCAACUAAGAAAAAUAUCCAACUAGUAAGGAUAACCUACACAUAAUAUAAGUCUUCAUCUACUGUAGUUCAGAAACUUACAUUUCAUUCUAUCAUACGAUGCACUCAAAGUACCAGACAUACAAAGUCAAUAAUAAUAACCCCUAAUCCUUCACACAUUUGACAAACAUAUUAAGCUGAUGUAAACACCACAUGAUCUAGGAAUAGGUGACUAGCCACACCCAACCAACUCUAGGCUAGGCAAGGACUUCCUUCAAACCAAUAGAUAGGUGGUCUAAAAAAAAUGGCUCCACAAGCAUGCAUCGAAAAGGGAACCAUCAGAUCCUCAAUGUAUCAAUACAUAAUCAAUGGAUCAAGAGAAUCAAAGAUUUAUUCUACAAUUAGUAUGACUAACAGGCAACCACUUUAAACCACAUCUAGGCUUUGUGGCAACUAAAACACACAAUAUGAGAGAGACAUGUAAGCCAUUCUGGCUAUGAAAAGACUUCCCCCAAAAAUCCAUAUAAAGUACCAAUAUUCAUUUCUUUCAAAACUGGUUUCUCAACAUAAACAAUCAUUCUUUGCAAUGAUAGUUGGAGCUAUCCACCAACCGCUCAACAACUUAAAUUCAAAUUGAUGAUUACCUUGUACCCCAAAACACGCAAUUCACACUCCUCUUAGAAACAUCCACAAUCAAGCAUAUAUAACAAUAUUAUUGUAAUAAAACUCAACCAUGAAAAACAUGGUGAAAACAACAUAGGCAUACUUGUAUAUCACAAGCAUAAUAACAACUUCAUUCUCACCAAUGACCAGCGAUAUCUACCGCAUUAAUAAAACAAUAUCAAAAUUUCAGAAAUAAAUUAUAUCAAGCAUUAAGCCAUAAACAACUUACCACAUCACCGUAAAGGAAUAGGGAGGGGUGAAACUAUUGUCAUCUGCACUCCAAAGACAUUAAUAUAUAUCAAAGAUAUUUGAACCCAUACCCUUCCUAUAUGUGCAAGUGUGUCAAAUUUAUCUUCAAAUUGCCAAGAAUCUAAAGCCUAUGCUUUGAUACCAACUGUAACACCCCGGGAUCCACAAACACCCCAGAAUGCUACUAAACUACACAUCUAAUAUUCAUAUAUAAAAUUUCGACAGCAUCUCCUUUGAAAAUUGCAUAAAUGGGGGAAGCAACAAAGUAUAAAUAGAUAUCAUGAUAAGAAAACAUAUAAGACAUUAAUAAUCUGCUAGCAAUGGGAAGACAACCAUAACAACAUGAACUGAAUUAAUCAGUGCGCACGACUAGUUAAAAACAAACAUCCUUUGACAAGAAGUUUCUAAUUAAAUCAUGGCUGCGUCUAGGCAGCAUUAUUAUGAGAAUGAAGGUGGAUGUGCUGCUACUUCCCACUCCCCUUGAUGAGCAACAAGCAUCUGCAUUGAGUAAUGCAAGAGUGAGAUGAAACAUCUCAGCAAGCUAAUUGUUCUGACGAGAUAUUUAAACCACAAAUUGAAUUCAUCAACAUUUUAAAAGAGUCACAAUUAAAAAUCAGAAAUGCUUGUAGAUAUAGAACUCAGUAGUCCCACUAUAACCAAUACCAUCUCAUUUCCUCGAACAACCACAAUAGGUUCUAUAACACUUCCCUGCGUCAACAAUACCUGCAAAUAUCACUUCAAUGUAUGCAUAGGAAUGCAAUGUGUAGGUACUCUAUCUUCAUACCUCUGGGGGUAUAAAACCACAUCAUCUGCAAAUAUCACUUCAAUGAAUGCAUAUGAAUGCAAUGCAUAUGUCCUCUGCCUUCAUACCUCUAAGGGUAUGAAGCCGCAUCGUACCCCUUCUCGGGCAACGUACGAUGCUAAGUUGUACCGGUACGGUCGGACCAUAGGUCACGACAAAACUUCAUAUGCAAAUGAGUCAUGCAAUGUAUAUGGCAUGCUACAUUUAUCAAUAAACUUCACUUCCUUCAGAUACAACACAAACCUCAAAUAAUACUUCAUUUACCUUCAGAUACAAUACCAACCUCAAAUAAUACUUCAUUUACCUUCAGGGGUGUGAAUUAAUCUCAUGAGUCAUACUCAAAUCAUAAUCAUCAUCAAUAUAUGAUUGAGCAUCAGUAUAAUGCAAGCAAGUAAAGCAUCACCAUAGAGUCCAAUUAUGAAAGAAUCUGAUACUUCUGAAUAUUAGAGUGUAGGCGAUAGAAAUAACAGGUCAGAACGGAAGCAACCACCGCUACAUUCACUUGCCUUCAUCGAAGAAGAAGAAAUGUACUAGACAUGAUCUGGAGUGUAGCCACCUGCUAGUGGGCAUAAAACUUAGUACAAAUAUUUCACAAACAUUUGCCAUCAAUCAACAAAACACUCCUACACUUGAAACCAAGACCCAGUGGAAAGACUCCCACCCUGAACCACAUGCCAUACAGCAGCAACGCUGUUUGUUAAUUUUGUAUCUUCAAAAUUAAAACAGCGGUGAUAUCAAACAAAUACUCCAGGAGUAUCUACACAAAAUACUCUACAACUUCAGUAUUCAAUAGAUAAUUAAAUUCUGCCAUCUACAAGUUCUAAAACAUCUGACAAGAUAACUGACUGAAUCUGUUUUAGACAGCAGUAUGGUUAACUUUAAAAUUCGAUAUCUCCAAAACUGCUGAACCAAAAAUUAUGAAAUUCUGCUGGAAGUAAGAACUUUUAUCCCUCUACAAAAGUCUCCAUAGUUGGAAGAGCCAAUUCGGCCAUUUACUAGAUGAAACCCACCAGUGAACAGACCCACUCAUUUUUGUCAGGUAAACAGGAACAGCCACAGUAAAACAAACAUAACUGGAGUUUCACAAAUCAUAUGAAUGCACUCUUUAACAAUCUGGAAAGCUUAUAAAAUUAUCUACAACUUCUUUUACCAACCCACAGUUUAAUUCUGUUGAUAAAAUUGCCUAAAUCUUAAGAGAACAGAUUCUGCACAGAAUUAUGAGACUGAAAAACUGCUAUAGUAAAACUGCAAUAACUUUCUGGUAGGAUGUCCGAUUGAGGUGUUCUUCGCGGCCACGGAAAGAUCUACAAAUUAUCUACGACUCAUACAUAGACUUUUUAUUUUUUUGAGGCCACUAAGACUACGGAAAACUGGCAUGAACAGAAACUGUCGAAUCUGCCAUUCUGCAGAAAACUAAAUUCGAGAUCAAAACCUAACCCCACAUCAAAUCCAACCUCUAAUCCUUUAAUUCCCAUGAUCCACAACCUCCAAAAGCCUAUAAUUACAGGGAGGAACAAGGAUCUCAUCCAUACCUAGGGUUUCCCCAAGAAAUCUUCAAGAGAAGAUGGAGAAGAACAUCUCCUUGAUCCUCUCUUCCUCUUCAAUUCAACGUGCCCCUCCUUUUCUCGAUCCUUGCUGCGUAGGGGGAGAUCUUGGGGGAGGAAGCAAUGGAGGAUGGCUGCCAUAGGGGGAGGGGGCGUCCAGCCAAGGGGGAGAAAAAGGGGGUGGCGGCCAAGAGGGGGGGGUGAAGGGAAAAAAAGGGGUGGCCACCUAGGGUUUUUGUGGGAGAAAGAAACGACGCCUCAGAUGACUUCUAUCUUUGCAUCCAAUGGCCCACAACCCUUUACCUCAUCCACGCAUCAGAGAUUAACUUUUGGUCAACAUUUUUUUGGGAUAUUACAUACCAAUUGGGAGUGAUUGAGAACAACUUUUGCUUGUCCAUGCAACUCCUUUAAUAUUAUCUUGACACAACUCAAGGGAGGACAUUAGAAACACAAGCAAAGAUUUCUUGUUUUGGCACCCAUUAGUUACCAAGACAAAUAAACCCUAUAAAUAUGGACUAAACAGUAACAUCAUGCUUGCACAAAUAUGAACAUUAAUUGAUGCAUAAAUUACCAAAUAGGACAACAUGAUUUACAAUAGAACACAUGUUUAUCCAUACAACAUCACAUGAGAACAAGCCAUGGUAGAUAGAAUAUAUAAAUAUAAAGCAUCCAAAAGACUAGUCAAUAUCUAUUUCACACAUAGCCAUGACUAAACAAGCAUGAUCCUCCUAUUGAAAGCAUUAAAUUGCCAAAGAACUAGAUACAACAUAUGCAAUCAAUAAUUUGCAAAAUCAUUCCAAGGACAGGCAAAGCAAAAAUAUCACCUACUCAAGAGCAUCACAAAAUUCCUAUGUGACAACUCAAGGCACAUGGGAUAUAUCAAUUGAAAGAGGUGCACAAGAGAUAGAGUUGCACAUUGUAGGUUCUUUUCUUUAUUUUCCAUUGAAGUCCUUUUACACCUACAAUUCAACCUUGGAUCAAUGAAGAAACAAUGAAAUUGGUAGCAUAAGUAUUGAAUGCGAAUUAGCCGUCUUAAGCUCUCCCAAGGUCUCCAGUUCAUCUCAGGGCACCUCCAUGAUCUACUUGGCACAUUUUGGUACCCAUCACGAGAUGGUUCCAAACACAUUAACUAAAAGUGCCUUGGAUACCCAAAUAGCAUUUGUGCUAGGUCUAGCUAGGUGAACCAAUCAUGAGUCUAGCACAAUGGUUAUAUUUGGGUCUCCUAAGAGAAUAAAAAUGUAAUGAAUUUCUUCCUUUAAGAACUUUACCCUUAUACCCCGUUUGGAUGUAGAUAUCGGAGCACAAAAUUGGAAAUUGGAACCAACUUUCCUCAAUUAUGUUGUUUGGUUGCGCGUGGAAUUGAGAUUUUGAAUCCGAGGCUCAAUUCCCUAGAAUUGGACUAUAACUAGAAACCCCCCUCUGCCAAUACAAAGCAUCACCUCUCGGUAUUGCGUAGAAUUAGACAACACAAUUCCAAACUCUAAUUCAGUGACAUCCAAACAAUAGAAUUGGAAUUACAUCUCAUUUCAAUACCAUGCCUGAUUUGGUAUUCAACCAAAUUCAAUUCUAUCCACUCCAAUAUCGGCAUCCAAAUGGAGCAUUAGUACAAACCUUAUGUAGAUGACCUUGCUCACCACACUUGUAGCAGAAGCGUUGCUCAGCCUAAUAUGAUGCUUCGUUCAGUAUUCGUCUUGGUGAGGGUCAUCAUGGGGAAUGCAAGGCUCUUGUUCUUCAUGUGAGGACAUGAAGCUAUGAAAUGGCCUAGCUCCUUGCAUCUGAAGCAUCUCCUCUUUCCGAUCCUCUUUUUGCGCAUGGAGGUCACAAAAAUAUCAUUAGUGCAAACAACAUCUGUACUUGAAUGUUCACAUUUUUCCUUGUUCUCGUGUUUGCUUCUUUUGUUGAUUUAGGAACUCGCUCUAGAUGGAGUCUUGCACAUGCUUCGGUUUUUCUAUUCUCAAACUUCUUCACCAUGUGCUUCGGUCACAUAAAUAUCAUUAGUUGUAGCUGGUUGCUCAAUUCAAACUGAUUCAUACUGUUGGACCAAAUCAUCAUGAGAGCACCUUAGCUCCUCAUGUUCUUUUGUCAACUUUUUCCAAGCAACCUUGGGUCAUGAUGAGAGUCUCCUCCUGUAACACCCUGAAUUUGGGGGUAUAAAAUUUCUUUCUAACUAUCACACAAAUUCAAGUGUUACCCUUCUCUCUCUAGUUUCUAUCUAUCUCUAGAUUCUCUCUCUCUCUUUUUCCUUUUGAGUAGAAAUAGCUUAAUUAAGGAGGGAUUAAUUAUUUAUUUUUUCCAAAACACUAUGGGUCAUGACAUGUUGCAUCAUGUUGAGUUGAAUAUUAUUUGAAUUGUUGCACAUGUUUGAAUUAGUUUGAAUUUGAAACUUGAAUUGAAUUUGAAAUGAAAACCCUGGAGAAAAGAAAUGGAAAAGCAAUUAGGAAAUUCAGGAAAAAGGAAAAGCAGCCCAGCUCGGCCCAGCCAGGCCGCGCGCCCGCGCCACCUGACAGGUGGGUUCCACCUAUCAGCGGCAACUCCCUCGCCCGCGUGCCCUCUCUCACCCUCUCUCUGCCUAGUGGGGCCAAGCUGUCGGCGCCAGUUUCUUCGCCCGCGCGCCCCUCUUCUCUCUCUGCUUUGCGGGCUCGUUUUGCCAGUAGUCGAGUUGUUGCCCCCGCGCACCUGUCCUCUCUCUCUCUGCGCCGUGGGCCUCCCCUGUCAGCUCUGCCCUCCCCGUGCCUGCCGUGGACCAGCGCGCGCACACUCGCGCACGUCACCGGAAUCCUCGGCCACGACACCCGCCCACGCGCCCCAGCUCCAUUUUGAGCCCCGCCCGCGCACGCACUCACUCCCCCGCCUCAUUUCACACAGCCUCGCUCCCGCUCGCGCUCUGCCCACGCCGUCCGACCUCGCCGGAGACCCACUCUCGCCUCCCUGGUCAUCUAGCUCGCCGGAGGCCACACCAAGCGACCCCGAGCUCCGCCCCGAGGUGAGACACCCGCCCCCGUGCUUGUUUUACUCUAUUCGCGCCUGCCUUUAGCCAAUUUGGCCUCGCCGGCGUGCGGCUGUGCUUGCUCGCCGCGCCCGCACGACGUCCGGCCAUCCCGACCCCGUCUAGUGCCCCGGCUUUGGCCCAAAGUGCUCUCUGCCUCUACUGGAACUAGCUCGAGCCCUAUCACGGCCGAUUGCCUCUCCCGGCGGCCGGAAUUCCUCACCGGAGUUAUCCCGGCCCGCCCGGAGCUUUUCCUCUGCCAUUCCCCCUCUCUGACCUCGGUCUCGUGGCCAGAACCCCGCCAUCGAGUUCGCUGAGUUGUAUUCCCUCUCUCUGACCAACUCCGGCGACCUCGGAACCGCCGUAGCACGCACCCGCCCCAACUCCGGCGACUUCACCGCCGCGGGAAGGAGCGGCGCCGCUCGUAGCCGUUCACCCCUCCCGGUUUGAUCUCCCUCGUCCGAUCUCGAUCGCACGGCCCAGAUCGCGCGAUGCUGCUUCGUGCACGCGCGCCCUGCGUCCGAGCCCGUCUGUCAGCGCCUGUGUCCCCUGGCGCUGGGCUCGAUGGGUUAGUGCGCCCCCUCGGUCGCUGACGCUGCUGGCCCUCCUGUCAGCGCUCGCCCGCCCGCGUGUGCGCACCCUCGGCCACAGAUCUAAUCUCGGCCGUUGGUUUCUAAUCUAACGGUUGAGAUCGUUCGAUACCCUUUCGCGUGUUGUUUUGCUUAAGAGACCCUCGUGUUAAUUGGAAUUAACCCGUCGUCCCUUGUUUUCGCGCGCAGGCCCCUGUAAUCUUGCAGAUUGAACCUUAGACUUUUAAAUAAUUAUAGAAUUAGACCUAUUUUCAUAUUUUAAAUUCCCAAACUUGUUCAUUUCAUAUCUUUUGCAUAUGAACUCCAAAUUUAGUGAUUCAAAUUGCAAAAUGUUCAAAGGAAUGUUCUCUGUUUAAAUAAAUUAGUUCCGUUUACAAUCUAUACAUUCUAAUUUUAUGGUUAACUAUGAAUUAGUAUAUGUGUAGAUUUGUUUAUUUAAUAAAAUAAAUAAAAGGAAAAACCUUAGGGGUUAAAGUAUAUUUAGUUUGGUGAGUCUAAUAACAUGUAUCACAUGAAUUUAUCUCUGGUCUAACUUUUAGGUCACAGUAAAAUAAAUAGAACUAGGUUGUGUAAUUAUGGACAACAUUUAAAGAAUAAUCUAUUUCUAAAUGAAACUAGUUCAUGUUAUACUUUGAUAUCAUUAUUCCUUAUUUAGUAUUGUGCCUUUUUAAGAUGUAUUCCAAUGUUUGUAUAUGUUUGGUGUGCUGAUCAUUUGUACUUUCCAAAUGUAUUGAAUGCAUGCUCGCUUUAUUUAGACAACGAGCAGUCUGAGGUUCCCGAGUGUGUGUGUGUGUUGCUAAAGACCUCCCUGAGCAACAACCUGGUGAAGGCAAGUGUCCUCUGACCUAUUAUGUCCUACAUACUCUAUGACUCACUGUCCCGCAUUACAUUACUUAACCUAAGGAUUGACUUGUCUGUAUUUACCUUAUCCUUGUUCACCUUUUGGGUUAUCAUGGUUAGCACCUUGCUAUUGCCUUAACUUAAUCAAUGAACAUGAUGUGAUUAUUUAUGAUACGAUGAUGUUAUCCCAAUGAUGAUAUUGUGAUACUCUAGGGGGCUCAGGCCUUUUUCCUGAGUACCUCUCCGUAAAGACCUGUUCGUGGAGUGACCACCCGGGAUAACAGUGCAACCAUGAGGGUGGAAUGGGACGCCCUUAGCUGAAUAAUUAGAUGAACCUGGGGGUGUAGUUGGCUUUGCCUGAGGGCCGUCAAUGGGGGCCGGGGCGUAGUUCUCGCUCUGCCAAGGGGGUGCAGAGGUUCAUUCGAUUUGGUUUUGUUAGUCACCCACCUUGGAGAGGUGUACUGCGUUUGUACGACUGGUGAAACCUAACGAGCAGCUAUGCACCAGGGGAGUCUUUGUAAAGGCUACGUAGUGUAUCCCUGACCAUUCACCUCGGUAGUGAGAUCGAGUCUGUACAACCCAGGCUGGAAAGGAAUCACGACUUGUGGGUAAAGUGUACAACCUCUACAGAGUGUUAGAAACUGGUAUAUCAGCCGAGCUCACGGUUAAGAGCAGUCUUGGGAUCCUCUUGGAUUAGAAGAAUUCUGGUUACUUUUAUGAUGAUGGUUAACAAUGAUAUAAUCCUGAUCUCUGGUAUUUCCUCCUUGAGGGAGUACUUUUGGGAAAUAACUGGGUUUAUUACUAAAACUUGGCUCUACUAAUAGUAAUAAAUGUUUGACUAACUAAAAGCAACUGCUUAACCUCAACCCCCAUACAGCUAGUCCACUUUAGCCAAACAGGUCAUUUGCUGAGUACGUUGAUGUGUACUCACCCUUGCUUUACACACCACCGCCACCCCAGGUUGUCCCCACUUUACUCAGUGCUCAGAAGGUGAUGCUGGCAACAAGGAGAACUUUGAGGAGUUCUAGGACUACGACGAGUUCUAGUUUAUCUUAGUGGCAAACCCCCAGUCAGCUGCCUGUGUAGGCUUAUCAUCUAUGUUUCGUUUCUCCGCACUUUGAUAUUUAUGUUAAAGACAAUGGUUAUGUAUUAGACUAUGUGGAUGUCUUGGACAUCUUGAUGUAAUUAAAGUACCUUUCGGCUAUUUACUUUGAGCAAUGUGUGAUGAUGUCCAAUUAUGUAAUUGAAAGGGAAUUAGGCUUACACCUAUUUCCUAGUUGAUUUUGGUGGUUAAAUUGCACAACACAAAUAAUUGGACUAACUAGUUUGCUCUAGUCUAUAAGUUAUACAGGUGCCAAAGGUUCACAAAAAGCCAAUGAAAAGACCAAGUAAAGGGUUCAACAAAGAGAGCAAGGGAUAACCGAAGUGUGCCCUAGUCUGGCGCACCGGACUGUCCGAUGCACCAGGGGACUUCAAGCUGAACUCCUCACCUUCGGGAAUUUCCAGAGGCGCUCCGUAAUAAUUCACCGGACUGUCCGGUGCACCACCGGACAGUGUCCGGUGCCCCAGGAGAGAGCGGCUCUGAACUCGCUAGCUUCGGGAAUCCGCUCCGCUAAAAUUCACCGGACAUGUCUGGUGCACACCGGACUGUCCGGUGAGCCAGCAGAGCAACGGCUACUUCACGCGCAAUGGUCGACUACAACGCAUUAAAUGCGUGCCUGCGCGCGUAGAGGACAGAGCACGCGCGGGUGGCACACCAGACAGUCUACAGGACUUGUCCGGUGCACCACCAGAUAGCCAGGCGGGCCCACACGUCAGAGCUCCAACAGUCGGAACCCAACGGCCUGGUGACGUGGCUGGCGCACCGGACAGUGUCCGGUGCGCCCUUCGACAGCAGCCUCCACCAACGGUCAAGUUUGGUGGUUGGGGCUAUAAAUACCCCAACCACCCCCACAUUCAAGUCAUCCAAGUUUUCCACCUUCCAACUACUUACAAGAGCUAGGCAUUCAAUACAAGACACACCAAAGUGAUCAAAUCCUCUCUCAAUUCCACACAAGGCUUUAGUGAUUAGUGAGAGAGAUUUGUCGUAUUCUUUUGAGCUCUUGCGCUUGGAUUGCUUCUUUUUCUCAUUCUUUCUUGUGAUCAUCUCAAUUGUAAACAAGGCAAGAGACACCAAUUGUGUGGUGGUCCUUGCGGGAAGUUUGGUUCCCAAUUGAUUUGAGAAGAGAAGCUCACUCGGUCCGAGGGACCGUUUGAGAGAGGGAAAGGGUUGAAAGAGACCCGGUCUUUGUGACCACCUCAACGGGGAGUAGGUUUGCGAGAACCGAACCUCGGUAAAACAAAUCCGCGUGUCACACUCUUUAUUCGCUUGCGAUUUGUUUUGCACCCUCUCUCUCGGACUUGUUUAUAUUUCUAACACUAACCCGGCUUGUAGUUGUGAUUAAGUUUGUAAAUUUCAGAUUCGCCCUAUUCACCCCCCCUCUAGGCGACUUUCAAUUGGUAUCAGAGCUCGGUGCUUCAUUAGAGCCUAACCGCUCGAAGUGAUGUCGGGAGAUCACACCAAGAAGGAUAUGGUGACCGGCGAGAAGCCCACUACAAGCCACGAGAAGGCUCCAUCGAGAAAGUCCUACAACAAAGGGAAGGGGAAGGAAAAGGAAUCCCCUUCACACAAGUCACGUCGGAGCGGUGACAAGAAGAAGAAAAUGAGGAAGGUGGUCUACUACGAGACCGACACCUCAUCACCAUCUACCUCCGGCUCCGACGCGCCGUCCGUCACUUCUAAGCGCCAUGAGCACAAGAAGUUUAGUAAGAUCCCCCUACGCUACUCUCGCAUUUCAAAACAUACACCUUUACUUUCCGUCCCAUUAGGCAAACCACCAACAUUUGAUGGUAAAGAUUAUGCUAGGUGGAGUGAUUUGAUGCGAUUUCAUCUAACCUCACUCCACAAAAUUAUAUGGGAUGUUGUUGAGUUUGGUGCACAGGUACCAUCCAUAGGGGAUGAAGACUAUGAUGAGGACGAAGUGGCCCAAAUCCAACACUUCAACUCCCAAGCCUCAACUAUACUCAUCGCCUCUCUAAGUCGAGAGGAGUAUAAUAAGGUGCAAGGGUUGAAAAUGCUAAGGAGAUUUGGGACACGCUAAAGACCGCGCACGAAGGAGACGAGGUGACCAAAAUCACCAAGCGGGAAACGAUCGAGGGGGAGCUCGGUCGCUUCCGACUUCGCCAAGGGGAGGAGCCACAAGACAUGUACAACCGGCUCAAAACCUUGGUGAACCAAGUGCGCAACCUCGGGAGCAAGAAAUGGGAUGACCAUAAAAUGGUCAAGGUUAUUCUAAGAUCCCUCGUUUUUCUUAACCCUACGCAAGUUCAAUAAAUUCGAGGAAAUCCUAGAUAUACACUAAUGUCUCCUGAGGAAGUAAUAGGUCAUUUUGUGAGCUUUGAAUUGAUGAUCAAAGGCUCAAAGAAGAUCAAUGAGCUUGAUGGUCCCUCCACGUCCGAAGCAGAACCGGUUGCAUUCAAGGCAACGGAGGAGAAGAAGGAGUCUACAUCGAGUAGAACACCCAUCGACGCCUCCAAGCUCGACAACGAGGAAAUGGCGAUCGUCAUCAAGAGCUUCCGCCAAAUCCUCAAACAAAGGAGGGGGAAAGACUACAAGCCCCGCUCCAAGAAAGUGUGUUACAAAUGUGGUAAGCCCGAUCAUUUUAUUGCAAAAUGUCCACUAUCUAGUGACAGUGACAGGGGCAACGACAAGAAGGGGAGAAGAAAGGAGAAGAAGAGAUACUACAAGAAGAAGGGCGGUGAUGCCCAUGUUUGCCGGGAGUGGGACUCCGACGAGAACUCCACCGGCUCCUCCUCCGACGAGGACGCCGCAAGGGACUUCUCUUCCCCAACGUCGGCCACAAGUGCCUCAUGGCAAAGGACGGCAAAAGAAAGAAGGUAAAAUCAAGAUCCUCCACUAAAUAUGAAACCUCUAGUGAUGAGGAUAAUGAUAGCCAUGAGGAGGAUAACUUACGUAUUCUUUUUGCCAACCUAAACAUGCAACAAAAAGAAAAAGUAAAUGAAUUAAUUAGCGCUAUCCAUGAGAAGGAUGAUCUCUUGGACACCCAAGAGGACUUCCUUAUUAAAGAAAAUAAGAAGCAUGUUAAGGUUAAAAAUGCUUACGCUCUAGAAGUAGAAAAAUGUGAAAAACUUUCUAGUGAGCUAAGCACUUGCCAUGAGACUAUUGACAACCUUAGAAAUGAGAAUGCUAAUUUGUUAACUAAGGUUGAUUCAAAUGUUUGUGAUGUUUCAAUUCCAAAUAAUAAUGUUGAUUUGCUUGCUAAGAUAGAAGAAUUGAACAUUUCUCUUGCUAGCCUUAGGAAUGAAAAUGAAAAAUUGCUUGCUAAGGCUAAAGAAUUAGAUGUUUGCAAUGCUUCCAUUUCCGACCUUAGAAGCAAAAAUGAUAUAUUACAUGCUAAGGUUGUAGAAUUAAAAUCUUGCAAACCCUCUACAUCUAUCGUUGAGCACACUUCCAUAUGUACUAGAUGUAGAGACAUUAAUAUUGAUGCUAUCCAUGAUCACCUAGCUUUAAUUAAGAAACAAAAUGAUCACAUAGCUCAACUUAAUGCUAAGAUUAGUGAGCAUGACUUAGAAGAUGAAAAAUUUAAAUUUGCUAGAAGCAUGCUCUAUAGUGGGAGACGCCCUGGCAUCAAGGAUGGCAUUGGCUUCCAAAAGGGAGACAAUGCCAAACUUAAUGUCCCGCCUAAAAGAUUAUCUAAUUUUGUUAAGGGCAAGGCUCCCAUGCCUCAGGAUAACGAGGGUUACAUUUUAUACCCUGCCGGUUAUCCCAAGAACAAAAUUAGGAGAAUUCAUUCUAGAAAGUCUCACUCUAGCCCUAAUCAUGAUUUUAUGUAUAAGGGUGAGACAUCUAGUUCUAGGCAAUCAACCCAUGCUAAAUUGCCUAAGAAGAAAACUCUUAAGGCAUCAAAUGAUUCUAACAUUUCAUUUAAGACCUUUGAUGCCUCUUACGUUUUAACUAACAAAUCCGGCAAGGUAGUUGCCAAAUAUGUUGGGGGCAAGCACAAGGGGUCAAAGACUUGUGUUUGGGUACCCAAAGUUCUUGUAUCUAAUGUCAAAGGACCCAAAACCAUUUGGGUACCUAAAGUCAAGAACUAAAUUUGUUUUGUAGGUUUAUGCAUUCGGGGGCUCAAGUUGGAUCAUCGAUAGCGGGUGCACAAACCACAUGACAGGGGAGAAGAAGAUGUUCUCCUCCUACGAGAAAAACCAAGAUCCCCAACGAGCCAUCACAUUCGGGGAUGGAAAUCAAGGUUUGGUCAAAGGGUUGGGUAAAAUUGCUAUAUCUCCUGACCAUUCUAUUUCCAAUGUUUUUCUUGUAGAUUCUUUAGAUUACAAUUUGCUUUCCGUUUCUCAAUUAUGCAAAAUGGGCUACAACUGUCUAUUUAGUGAUAUAGGUGUCACUGUCUUUAGAAGAAGUGAUGAUUCAGUAGCAUUUAAGGGAGUGUUAGAGGGUCAGCUAUACUUGGUAGAUUUUGAUAGAGCUGAACUCGACACUUGCUUAAUUGCUAAGACUAACAUGGGUUGGCUCUGGCACCGCCGACUAGCCCAUGUAGGGAUGAAGAAUCUUCAUAAGCUUCUAAAGGGAGAGCACAUUUUAGGAUUAACAAAUGUUUCAUUUUGAGAAAGACAGGAUUUGUAGCGCAUGCCAAGCAGGAAAGCAAGUUGGUACUCAUCAUCCGCACAAGAACAUCAUGACGACUGACAGGCCACUAGAGCUCCUACACAUAGACCUAUUCGGCCCGAUUGCUUACAUAAGCAUCGGCGGGAGUAAGUAUUGUCUAGUUAUUGUGGAUGAUUAUUCUUGCUUCACUUGGGUAUUCUUUUUACAUGAAAAAUCUCAUACCCAAGAGACCUUAAAGGGAUUCUUGAGACAGGCUCAAAAUGAGUUCGGCUUAAGGAUCAAGAAAAUUAGAAGCGACAACAGGACGGAGUUCAAGAACUCUCAAAUUGAAGGCUUCCUUGAGGAGGAGGGCAUCAAGCAUGAGUUCUCUUCUCCCUACACGCCACAACAAAAUGGUGUAGUGGAGAGGAAGAAUCGAACUCUAUUGGACAUGGCAAGAACCAUGCUUGAUGAGUACAAGACAUCGGAUCGGUUUUGGGCCGAGGCGGUCAACACCGCCUACUACGCCAUCAACCGGUUAUAUCUACACCGAAUCCUCAAGAAGACAUCAUAUGAACUCCUAACCGGUAAAAAGCCCAAUAUUUCAUAUUUUAGAGUCUUUGGUAGCAAAUGCUUUAUUCUUAUUAAAAGAGGUAGAAAAUCUAAAUUUGCUCCUAAGACUGUAUAAGGCUUUUUACUAGGAUAUGAUUCAAACACAAGGGCAUAUAGAGUCUUUAACAAGUCCUCUGGACAAGUUGAAGUUUCUUGUGACGUUGUGUUUGAUGAGACUAACGGCUCUCAAGUAGAGCAAGUUGAUCUUGAUGAGAUAGGUAAUGAAGAGGCUCCAUGCACCGCGAUAAGGAACAUGUCCAUUGGGGAUGUGUGUCCUAAGGAAUCCGAAGAGCCUCCAAAUGCACAAGAUCAACCAUCCUCCUCCACGCAAGCAUCUCCACCAACUCAAAAUGAGGAUGAGACUCAAGUUGAUGAAGGACAAGAUCAAGAAGAUGAGCCACCUCAAGAUGACGACAAUGAUCAAGGGGGAGAUGCAAAUGAUCAAGACAAGGAGGAUGAAGAUCCAAGGCCGCCACACCCAAGAGUCCACCAAGCAAUCCAACAAGAUCACCCCGUCGACACCAUCCUCGGCGACAUCCAUAAGGGGGUAACCACUAGAUCUCGUGUUGCACAUUUUUGUGAGCAUUACUCUUUUGUUUCCUCUAUUGAGCCACACAGGGUAGAGGAAGCACUACAAGAUUCGGAUUGGGUGGUGGCGAUGCAAGAGGAGCUCAACAACUUCACUAGGAACGAGGUAUGGCAUUUGGUUCCACAUCAUAAUCAAAAUGUUGUAGGAACCAAGUGGGUGUUCCGCAACAAGCAAGACGAGCAUGGUGUGGUGACAAGGAACAAAGCCCGACUUGUGGCCAAGGGGUAUUCACAAGUCGAAGGUUUGGAUUUCGGUGAAACCUAUGCACCCGUAGCUAGGCUUGAGUCAAUUCGCAUAUUACUUGCCUAUGCUACUUACCAUGGCUUUAAGCUUUAUCAAAUGGACGUGAAAAGUGCCUUCCUCAAUGGACCAAUCAAGGAAGAGGUCUAUGUUGAGCAACCUCCCGGCUUUGAAGAUAGUGAGUAUCCUAACCAUGUCUAUAAACUCUCUAAGGCACUUUAUGGGCUCAUGCAAGCCCCAAGAGCAUGGUAUGAAUGCCUUAGAGAUUUCCUUAUCACUAAUGGCUUCAAAGUCGGAAAGGCCGAUCCUACACUCUUUACCAAAACACUUGAAAAUGAUUUGUUUGUAUGCCAAAUUUAUGUUGAUGAUAUUAUAUUUGGGUCUACUAACGAAUCUACAUGUGAAGAGCUUAGUAGGAUCAUGACACAGAAAUUCGAGAUAUCAAUGAUGGGGGAGUUGAAGUACUUCUUGGGAUUUCAAGUGAAGCAACUCCAAGAGGGCACCUUCAUUAGCCAAACGAAGUAUAUUCAAGACAUUCUAACCAAGUUUGGGAUGAAGGAUGCCAAGCCCAUCAAGACACCCAUGGGAACCAAUGGGCAGCUCGACCUCGACACGGAAGGUAAAUCUGUCGAUCAAAAGGUAUACCGGUCGAUGAUUGGGUCUUUACUCUAUUUAUGUGCAUCUCGACCGGAUAUUAUGCUUUCCGUAUGCAUGUGUGCAAGAUUCCAAGCCGACCCUAAGGAAGCUCACCUUACGGUCGUAAAACGAAUCUUGAGAUAUUUAGUUAUACUCCUAAGUUUGGGCUUUGGUAUCCUAAGGGAUCCACUUUUGAUUUAAUUGGUUAUUCGGAUGCCGAUUGGGCGGGGUGCAAAAUUAAUAGAAAGAGCACAUCGGGGACUUGCCAGUUCUUGGGAAGAUCCUUGGUGUCUUGGGCUUCAAAGAAGCAAAAUUAUGUCGCUCUUUCUACCGCCGAAGCCGAGUACAUUGCCGCAGGCCAUUGUUGCGCGCAACUACUUUGGAUGAGGCAAACCCUUAGGGACUACGGUUACAAAUUAACCAAAGUUCCUCUUCUAUGUGAUAAUGAGAGUGCAAUCCGCAUGGCGGAUAAUCCCGUCGAGCAUAGCCGCACUAAACACAUAGCCAUUCGGUAUCACUUUCUAAGGGAUCACCAACAAAAGGGAGAUAUUGAGAUUGCAUACAUCAAUACUAAAGAACAAUUAGCCGAUAUCUUUACCAAGCCACUAGAUGAACAAACUUUUAACAAACUUAGGCAUGAGCUAAAUAUUCUUGAUUCUAGGAAUUUCUUUUGAUAUUUUGCACACAUAGCUCAUAAGUAUACCUUUGAUCAUGUCUCUUCUAUGUGCUAUGACUAAUGUGUUUUCAAGUGAAUUUCAAACCAAGUCAUAGGUGUAUUGAAAGGGAAUUGGAGUCUUCGGCGAAGACAAAGGCUUCCACUCCACUCCAUAACUCAUCCUUCGCCGUUGCUCCGAGCAACUCUCCGUCUUUGGUAUAAUCUUCACUCAUAUGUUUUAUUUGCCGAAGGGGAUAAAGUAGUUAGGAAAGGGCUUACAUUUCACUCCUAUCUGGUUUUGGCGAUUCAUGCCAAAGGGGGAGAAAGUAUUAGCCCAAAGCAAAAGGACCGCACCACCACCCUAUUUUCAAAGAGUUUUUAAAAUUGGUAUCUUAUUGUGUUCAAAAAGGGGAGAAAAUAGUAUUUUCAAAAUUGAUAUCUUAAAACCCUCUUGAACACUAAGAGGAGAAUUUAUUGAAGGAGAGUUUUGUUUAGUCAAAGGAAAAGCAUUUGAAACAGGGGAGAAAAUUUUAAAUCUUGAAAAUGCUUCGCAAAAACUUAUUCAUUUACCUUUGACUAUUUGCAAAAGACUUUAAAAAGGAUUUACAAAAUGAAUUUGCAAAAACAAAACAUGUGGUGCAAGCGUGGUCCAAAAUGUUAAAAAUGAAGAAACAAUCCAUGUGUAUCCUAUAAGUAUUUCUAUUGGCUCAAUUCUAAGUAACCUUUGCACUUACAAUCUUGCAACUAGUUCAAUUAUGCACUUCCAUAUUUGCUUUGGUUUGUGUUGGCAUCAAUCACCAAAAAGGGGGAGAUUGAAAGGGAAUUAGGCUUACACCUAUUUCCUAGUUGAUUUUGGUGGUUAAAUUGCCCAACACAAAUAAUUGGACUAACUACUUUGCUCUAGUCUAUAAGCUAUACAGGUGCCAAAGGUUCACAAAAAGCCAAUGAAAAGACCAAGUAAAGGGUUCAACAAAGAGAGCAAGGGAUAACCAAAGUGUGCCCUGGUCUGGCGCACCGGACUGUCCGAUGUGCCACCGGACAGUGUCCGGUGCACCACCGGACAGUGUCCGGUGCACCAGGGGACUUCAAGCUGAACUCACCUUCGAGAAUUUCCAGAGGCGCUCCGCUAUAAUUCACCGGACUGUCCGGUGUCCCAGGAGAGAGCGGCUCUGAACUCACCAGCUUUGGGAAUCCGCUCCGCUAAAAUUCACCGGACAUGUCCGGUGCACGCCGGACUGUCCGGUGAGCCAGCGGAGCAACGACUACUUCGCACGCAACGGUCGACUGCAACGCAUUAAAUGCGCUCCUGCGCGCGCAGAGGACAGAGCACGCGCGGGUGGCACACCGGACAAUCUACAGGACUUGUCCGGUGCACCACCGGACAGCCAGGCGGGCCCACACGUCAGAGCUCCAACGGUCGGAACCCAAUGGCCUGGUGACGUGGCUGGUGCACCGGACAGUGUCCGAUGGCGCACCGGACUGUCCGGUGCGCCCGUCGACAGCAGCCUCCACCAACGGUCAAGUUUGGUGGUUGGGGCUAUAAAUACCCCAACCACCCCCACAUUCAAGUCAUCCAAGUUUUCCACCUUCCAACUACUUACAAGAGCUAGGCAUUCAAUACAAGACACACCAAAGUGAUCAAAUCCUCUCCUAAUUCCACACAAGGCUUUAGUGAUUAGUGAGAGAGAUUUGUCGUGUUCUUUUGAGCUCUUGCGCUUGGAUUGCUUCUUUUUCUCAUUCUUUCUUGUGAUCAUCUCAAUUGUAAACAAGGCAAGAGACACCAAUUGUGUGGUGGUCCUUGCGGGAAGUUUGGUUCCCAAUUGAUUUGAGAAGAGAAGCUCACUCGGUUCGAGGGACCGUUUGAGAGAGGGAAAGGGUUGAAAGAGACCCGGUCUUUGUGACCACCUCAACGAGGAGUAGGUUUGAGAGAACCGAACCUCGGUAAAACAAAUCCGCGUGUCACACUCUUUAUUCGCUUGCAAUUUUUUUUGCACCCUCUCUCUCGGACUUGUUUAUAUUUCUAACGCUAACCCGGCUUGUAGUUGUGAUUAAGUUUGUAAAUUUCAGAUUCGCCCUAUUCACCCCCUCUAGGCGACUUUCAGUAAUCGCUGUGUACGUGAGUUUCUGAUCCUGGCAUGUACAUGGUUCGCAUUCGGUUUGCCUUCCAAAACCAGGUGUGACACCUCUAGCCUGAGAAGUGUCUCACCUUGUUCCUUCUCAACAAUUUCCUUAUAGGAUAGUCAUGUCUUACUUGUUGAGACGUCCAUAGAGCUAGCAAAGCUCCUUUUCUUCAACAUCCUUGGUUUCAUUUUCCAUGUCAUCAUUAUAAGAGGAAGCAUGCAAAAUAGUAUGGGAAAAUGUGCCUUGUGAUGAUGUGGAUUUGGUUUCAUCCUCGCUAUCAUCCUCAUAUUCCUCCUCAUCGUCGCUUUCGUCUCUACUACCAUUUUCGCAACAAGACAUUUAUGACUAGUGGAAAACAUACCUGUCGGUGAGGUGGAUUCAUUGUUUGGUUUCCAUCGUCUUUCUUCUUCUCCCUUUGAAAGAUUAGUACCACAAGCAAUAGAGGGAGUAGAAGUGAAAGAAGUUUCACUAUAUUUAGCAUCAUGAAUUUUGGCCAAAAUGUUGUGAGCAUAACUAACAAGAUCAUUUUGAGGUAUGAAAACAAAAUAAACAUCUUCACUAAGAGAAUUGACUAAGAUAUCAUAGGCUUGAUAAUUUAGACGUAGACAUCUUAGAUCAUAUUCAGAUGUAUUUCUCUUAUCAAAAUCAAUGGGCAAUAUACUAGCAUCAAAUAUUUGCUCUCUUCAAGACCUAAACUCCUAUAAGCAUUUUGCACAUGAAAAUACCAUGAUGCAUAAUUAGAGCCAUCAAAAUGAAGAAGUUCUAGAGUUACCUCCUCCUACAACAUUGUCAUCUCCGGAUGUCUAAGCCCAUGACUGGAGAGUCUAGCUCCGAUACCAAUUGAAAGUUUCCUUUGCCCGGGAAUAGAAGGAUGCCACCUAUGGGGGGUGAAUAGGAGAAUAAAAAUUAAUCCCAAAACUUAGAAAUCUUACUCUACUCAAAGACCGGAUCACAAUAGAAUGAAGAUCACUUUGAGUAGGUCGCAGCUCAAUCAAAGUCCAUGUCUCAAGAUAGCAUGUACUUCAAAAAUAGUUUAUACCAAAUAUAAAUAUAGAAGUGCAAAGAGUAAAGCAAUCAAAGAGAGAGAGAGAGAUAGAUAACAACACACCAAGAGCACACAACACACAAGGAUUUAUCCUGUGGUUCGGUCAAGCCUAAAAUGCUUGCGUAGUCCACGUUGGAGUUAGCCAACCUGGCUUGGAGUCUAUUUCAACUCAUUCCUCCGUUUGCUUAGAUCUGUCACCAGGUGGUAGAUCGAGGCUUUCAUUAUGUAGAGGUCGGUUACAGUGGAGCCAUGGUUGUUUACUAGUAUUCAUAGCAUUCCGGCAGAGUAACAAAACUCCCUUGCUCAAGAUCUUGCUCACUCUAACUUGCAGCAGCACUCCUCAACUCUCUCUUGGCUUAUAACUGUACCAACACACGAAUUUGAGAGAAAUACACAAGAGACUGAGUCAUAAUUGAUUUGUAAUGUAUCUACAAUUUGUUGCUGCACUUGGAAGCCUUGGACUGAAAGGGGAUGUCUAAGAGGUCCUUUUAUAGCCCCAUGGGGCCUAGGAGCCGUAACCUCUUCCAAAUGAAAGCUGGAAAAAUUCCGUAUCUGCGGGCGCACUGGACCGUCCGGUGAGCCACCGGACCGUAUCGUGACAUCUGCUAGCCGUUGUGCGUCGAGCGAAGGCUGAAAGUAGCCAUUGGAGAAGUGGUCUGAUGUACACCGAACCAUCCGGUUAAUUUUAUAAAUAAAAUUCCCAAGACCAAUCAGUAUAGCUAAGUUGCACGGACCCAGUCUGGUGCAGCCUAGACCAGAGCAAGUUGUGCUCUUUUGAGCCAAACUUCUCCAAAUGAUCUCAACUCUUUGGAGGACUUCCCUGAGACCUAGACACACAUUUAGAGUGUAAUCCAAUUGACUAGGUCCUAGAAAGUUACCUCCUUCCCAUUCUUCUCCCAGCUUUUCUAUUUCUCCUCAAACAGAGCCCAGAAUAGCACUUUGUCUACAAACUGAGUUAGAGAACAAACCAAAGUACCAAACACAUAGUAAAAGGUGUAUGCAACAUAGUUGAACGCUCAAACCUUACAUACUUAACCUUUUCACCGUUUUACACGUUUUGGCCCGUUUGAGGUCGAGGUUGGACUCCAAACCAUCAAGUCGACUUGACUUGAUCUAGAUUGUUAUCUAUGAGCUCCAACACCUGGAAAAGGUCAUAUAGAACACUGUAACAACCCAACCUAAAGGUUAAGGUAAACUUAGCUCUUUUGGGUUGCUUCUAGGUUCUAGCUUUGACACUACCACUUCUGGUGACCUUGUUCACUUCCUGAGCUUGAUCUUGAGCCUUAAGACUUACACCACAUAACCAUAGUUAUUACCUCAUUAGCUAUAAGUCAUGUCCUUAAGUCAUGAUCCUUGAUGCACCAUAACUCCUCUCAAUUCGAUCAACCUUGACUUUGCAAGUCUUUUUCUUCACGCCUGGCUUUGGGUACCUCGACCUUCUUGACCUUUUCUCGUGCACUCGGUACCUCGAAGUUCUUCUUGUCUCCAUACUUGGCUUGACCAUAUGCACACCGAGUUUCACAUAAGCAGUGUACAUCCUUCACUUAGCUUGUGAUGUCCACUAUCAUAGUCAACUCAGCCUUUGGACCAUCACACUUGAUCACUUGUGUUGAACCUUGUAAGAUUUGAACUAAGCACCUAUUCAACACUUAGCAACACAUAUUAGUCCUUUAAUUGGGUUGUCAUCCAUACCACCAAAACUCACAAGGAAACUUUCACUCUUAAGCAUGACAUUUUCAAGUUUAGCUUGAACAAUACUAGAUAAAGUAUUUUCAUUAUUUACUUGCUCAAUUAAAACUGAUUCAUACCUUUGAACCAAAUAAACAUGAGAGCUCACUAGCUCAUCAUGCUCUUUUUUCAUCUUCUCCAAACUGUCUUUCGUUUCGAUGAGGACUUUUUCCAACUCACAGCCCGAUUAGAUGAUGAAGGGCACCUCCCUCUCCCUGAUGAUGAUCCGAUCGUUUGGUAAGCCACCAUGACCAAACUGAUGUGUGCUACAUUGUUUCGAGACACCUACUAUUUCUGUCUUGCAUCGGAUUCGGCAGUGGGUGUUUAGAUGGGGUGUUCUUGCACUGAGUGUUGCUAGCAACGCAACAAGUAGUUCUAGUGGCCAGCUCAUGCCAAAGGCAUCUUCUUCAAGACCGCACUGAGGCUACAUCAUAUCAGAGACACUGUGAUCUCGCUCCUGUUGCUGCAGAAUAAAUUGGAGUCCAUGUGAGCAGCUGUCACAGCCGGUUUUGAAGGUAAACCGAAUGCGAACCAUGUACGUGCUAGGAUCAGAAAUUCACGCACACAGCGAUUACAUAAAUGCCUCAUCAUAGCACAAUGCUUCGAAUAACAAUAAAGAAUAAUUAAUAAUAAGACUAGAGUCAUUUACAUAAUAUAAAUCAAAGUACACAGAAACGAAACGUAGCCAACGUAAACAAACCCACCACAGGCAGCUGACUGGGGGAGGUUGCUAGCCUAAUCCUCGAACUGGGACAGAAAAGAGGAGGCUUUAAAGGGUAGGCUCAAGGUAAGCGUGAAGGUAAUCGUAUAGAUAUUACAAGGGUUAAAGGUGAUAACAGACAAGAAUGUAAGAGGGGAGGUAAAUGGGCAUAAGAACAAAGGAUAGAAAUAUCAUAAAGAAUGGAGUUAAGACAGGACCUGCAAAUGAAAAAGGAGAGGGUGCGUCCAGGGCCAAAUGGGUAAAUUCCCACUCUCAAAUUGAGGUGAAAGAGAGGAGAUUUUUAAAGAGUAGGAAUAAAGAUGAGUAUCAAGGCAAGAUCGAUGGACGACAAGGCGAGGGUGAUAGCAAAUAAAAACACCACAAAGGAUAGAAUUAACACUAAACUUGUAAGGCGACAAGAAGUGAAAAGAAAUCAAGGGAGAGGUAAGUACCUCGCAACUCUCAAACUAGGUUGAAAGAAAGGGGAGGGUUUUAAAGGAUAAGUUCAAGGUAAGUGUUUAGGUAGAAGACAUCAAUAUUCCAAGGGUCAAAGGCGAUAACGGACAAGGGUAUGAGAGAAAAGAUGAAAGCAUUGAAGAGCCAGCGGUAUGACUACAACCAAGAAUGGAGUCGCGUCCAAGCUUACACGCGAUAAAUAAGAGGAUAUAGCCAAGGGUGAGGUAAGUAAAACACCGCUCUCAAAUUGGAAUAUGAAGUUGGAGAUUUUAGACAACAGACAUAACGUAAUCACCAAGGUAAGAUCGAGGGAUGAGAAAGGUAAAGGUAAUAGCAAACAAAAGUGGGCAAAGGAUGGAGUUAAAAACUCGCAAGGGACAAAGAAGAUGAUAUGCCCAAAAGAAAAAUAGGUAAAACAUACAACUCUCAGAUUGAGAUGGGAGAGGGGAGACCUUGAAGGGUAGGUAUAAGAUGAACAUCAAUGCAAGAUAUAGAAGUGUCAAGGGUAAAUGCGAUAAUAACAAAGAGCAUAGGACAUGAUGAAGUUAAGGCAAGACUCACGAAAUGGCAAAAGAAAACAAUCACGGGUAAGGUAGGUAAGGUUCCAACAGAAUGGUUGAAGUAAAAGAAAUUAUAACCGAGAGAAGUUAUAUGGAAACGAUGAGAUCAUUAAGGAUGUGAGGAAUGGAACGAUCGCUCAUGGAUCAUGAAGAAACAAUGGUGGUCAAGAGUAUGUAACUAAAAUGUUUUAAACAGACAUUGGGGUGCAAAGGUAAGCAUUUAUAUACAAAGUAAAAGUAUGCAAGAUUACGAAGGUGCGAGCAUACCAAGACCAAGGGAGUACGAAUUGCCGAAAGAUAGCGAUUUAACAACAGAAUAGGAAAGGGUCUCAAAAGACAGGAUGAUCAUGGACAUAUAAACUGAAAUGUUUAAGUAGACAGUAGAAAUUCAGAGGUAAGUACUUGAAACAAGAGUAUUAAAGGGAUACAAGCAUGUCAAUACCAAAGGACUAGAGUUCUCCAGAUGGUAGCAAUUUAAUGACGAAAGAGGAAAGAAUCCCAAAAGGACAAGAAGGUUAUGGUCAGGGGCAUCUACAAAGAUGUCGCAAGCACAAGAGUGAGAUUAGAUUUAAUAGAUUGAGAGAAGUAUAGACCAUACUAGAAUAAAAUACUUUUUGGCAAGGGGGUAUAUAGGAGCACAACAUAAAAUUAGUCGAGGUGACUAAUAUUUUGAAGCAGAAUCAAGGAUAAGGUGAAGUAAUACUGAAUACUCAAUAAGUCCUUAAAACGGCCAAUGCUACUCUAGGUCAGCGGUCCUACUGUCAGCAAGGCUUUGAUACCAUUUAUGUCACACCCGGUUUUGAAGGUAAACAGAAUGCGAACCAUGUGCGUGACAGGAUCAGAAAUUCACGUACACAGCGAUUACAUAAAUGACUCAUCAUAGCACAAUGCUUCGAAUAACAAUAAAGAAUAAUUAAUAAUAAGACUAGAGUCAUUUACAUAAUAUAAAUCAAUGUACACAGAAUCGAAACGUAGCCAACGUAAACAAACCCGCCACAGGCAGCUGACUGGGGAGGUCGCUAGCCUAAUCCUCGAACUCGCCGAAGUCUUGGAACUCCCAGAGAUCCGUCUCAGCGCCUUCUUCUUUACCUGAGCAUAGAUUGCACCAAAGGCAACCUGGGGUUUUGUGAAAGCAAGGGUGAGUACACAUCAACGUACUCAGCAAAUGUCCCGUUUGGCUGAGGUGGACUAGCUUUAUGUGCGGUUAAGCUCAAGCAGUUGCUUUUAGUUGGUCAAGUAUUUAUUAUUAGUGGAAGCCAAGUUUUAGCAAUAACCAACCCGUGAAUCACUUCCUCCUCGAGGAACAUCAGUAUCAUCAUCGAACCAAAAUCCAUUAAUAGAACCAUUUAAUCUUAGAUCAUCUGUGUCAGAGAGGAAAUCUCCCCGGCCGGGUGGCGGAUUGCACCCGUCCUAAAUCCUGAAGAGAGGAGGGGCCUAAGCGUUUUGCUUGCUACGAGGCUGGUGGAUCAACACACGAGAGCACACGAGGGUUUAGAGUGGUUCGGGCCGUCGGAGCGUAAUACCCUACUCCACUGUGUGAUGUAUUGCUUGGAGCUUGUAUGAACUUAUGAGUGUAUGCCUAAAGCUAGGUCUGAGAGCCUCCCUUUGUAACGUCGUAUGCCUCCCCCUUUAUAGCUGAAGGGGGCAUGCACAAAAGGACUGGGCCCCGACAUGUGGGCCCAGGGACAUAACAAAUAUAGAGCUUGGAUCCCCUAAUGUCUGUUGCCGAGGCAAUCUUCUUGUACCCUAUUGCCCGAGGUCUGCGUAUCCUUGGCGUGCAGGGGAAGCUUCCUGCGGAAGAGAAGACGAGUAUAGGGUGCCGCCUGGCACGGGCGCACUGUUUGCAAGCAGACCCAGCAGGCGCGCCGCCUGCUGGAUGACCUUGACGCUGCCUGCCAGCGGAUGGGACGGGACACAUUUAAUGCUGAGAGGGCACGUCGCCCGUCAGCGCAGUGGCAGGCGGCGCGUCUUUUCCUCAAUAAAUGCAGGGGCUGCACAGCUUCUCGUCAGAGUCGGCCCGAUAGCUUAUGUCAUGGGCCACAAGCAGCGGAUCUCCGCCUGAGCGGGAAGCGGAGGCAAGGCCCGCACACGUGUCAGCGCUGGACCCCUGCACACACUAGGGUCCUUCUCGGUCCGGGACCCUGCCGGAGUUUGGACUUACCCGAAGGCUCCGGACUCGUAUAUAGGGGUCUGGUGUCCUUAUGUGGGGGUGCGGCCUUACUGGGGUGUGGUGUCUUUCCCUACCACAUGGCGCCCUUUGGCCUACCCAUCCGAUGGGGUGAGGCGCGGUCCCCCGCGUGGCUAAGGGACGUCGCAUGGGUGCGGUGUAUUCAUGCUGUAGGAGAGGGUACCCCUGAUUUUGGGUACCGACAGUGGCCCCUGAUCCCGCCUCAGGGGAGGAUGCGAGCUUGCAGGUGGGACCAGAGUCUAAUUGGCGGUUGGACCGCUGCUUCCGUGUGCCAGUUGCUGCAAUUACUGCCGGCCCGGCUAUGACCAUGCCAACAGUCGUGCUUAUUCCCACGGCUGACUGACCCCUGACCGUCGUACUUAACAGCACUGUUGGGCCAUGCGCGGGGCUACCUCGAGUCGCUGCACUGGUUCUAAAAAAUUUACCUUUUCAGAAUCCGUGAUAGUCCCGAGAAGACGUGGCAUUGGCACAGGCGGUGGUGCAGUUUCUUUGCACACGAUAACCGGCGCGUCGGUUACAUGACGUGUGGGCCUGGGCCUCUGAGUUGGGCCGCCAGUUGUGGCGGAGCUGAGGGGGCGCACAGCCGUGGGACGGUUGCACGCCUCUUGCGCGGCGGUUCGCCUCUUUGACCACUGGAUACGGCGAAGAUGAAGGGGUGCUUAAUCGUGGGACGGCUGCAUGCCUCUUGCGCGGCGGUUCGCCUUCCUGACCGAUGGUUGCCCCGGAAAUGGAGGGGCGCAUAGCCGCAGGGUAGUCACACGCCCCUUCUUAGGGUUAGUUUGCAUGACAUGCGGGGUCUGGCCCCCGUGUCAUAAGGUGAGAUCCUUGGUGCACGCCGGGGGAGACUUCGCCCAUGACGUUUCAGGGGCGCGAGUGGGGGAUCUGCCUUUUAAAAGGGGUCGAUCCCUCGGGUAGUAGACAUGCCUCGCUCCUCUUGCGACCACCGCACCCUUUCGCCUUUCGAGCCUCCAGAUGGGGUGCGUCGGUGUUCUCUGGAGGGAUCCGCAUCAAGGUGGUCUCUUCCGGCGACUUCACCGUCGGAGAGCGUGCGCUUGUGGUGGCGUCGCCGAUCUUGUCUUCCUCCUGCUGUCGUUGGAGGGGUGCAACCCCUUGGGGGUUGUGAAGCGUCCCCAAUCCUCUGGGACUCAAAUGUGAUACAAUUACUAGUCCCAGGAGGCUAGUAAACACAUUUAUACAUCAGAUGGUUCCAGAUCUGCUUAAACGAGACAAACCUAUAAAGGUGGCGAUCAACUUUAAGAGUUGGUCCACAACUUGAGACAUAUCAUCAGAGUGGGGCUGAAGCAGCCCGAUAUACGCAGCGAAGCAAAUCAGCGGUCCAACAGCCACAGGCAAGGUUGGGAACAGUCGUAACUCUUACCCGAUCUCCUUUUUCUGAAAAACAACAAAUAAGCAAGGGUGAGUACAAACGUACUCAGCAGCCCACCUUCACCCGCAGAAUGGGGAAAUCAGAUAUAAUGCAUGGAAUAUGUGGAGCUCAGGAUAUUUUGCAGAAACAGCAAUAUUUUAUGCAGAGUUGUUUUGAAAAACAUUUUGUAUUUUUGCAAAGCGCAUCCUCUCCAAAAGGAGCAGGAAGUUUUUCAGUAUUAUAACAAAAUCCCCUGGACUAAACCAUCCAGGUAUCUUAGCAGUUCCCACUGGUUUUCAUUUUCAAAAACAGCUACUGGACUUCCCGUCCACCAUAGCUCACGGCUCAACCGCCGAACCUUUUAAAAAACACUUUUUUCAAAACCAUCUCUUUUUUUUUAAAACAAAACAUUAAUUGCCAUACCAUACCAGACUCGUCCAUUCCUAUGGACACAGACUAUUCGAAUAGGUUUUCAAACUCUGCGCAGAGGUGUACACUUUACCCACUAGUUCGGAUCUGCGAUCCCAUGGCCAAUGAGACCCGAAUCCAACUCUCUUUCUUUCCCCGCAUGUCCUAACCUUAACGGUUAUCCGGAAGGAGUCAGGCCACCACCAUGUCCAAACCGGACAAAACUUUUCCCCUCCUUAUCCUCCCGGUGCUCCCCAGCCUUCAUAACCCUGAGGUUGGACCGUACGAGUUCAGAUUGAGUGACUGCCCACACAGUCUCGAGUGGUUGUACUAUUAAAGAGUACAGGUAGUGAAGAUGACAAACCGAUCCUUAUAUGAGGGGACAAUCCUUCUGCUCACGCCUAAACCAGCUGAGCCAACACCUUAGGCCCUCCCCUAAACCAGGGAGUCCCUGAUUAUCCCACUCACAAGGUGAUAAGGGUGAAAACCCUUCAUCACACACAUUUUGAAAAGCAUUUUCUUUUGAAAACUCACACCUGUUCUCAAAUCAUUUGGAACAUAUAUAUCAGGGAUUGAUUGCGGCAAGCGGUUGGGUGGCCAUAAUAACUUGUCUCAAAAUCAUAUCAUGCAUAAAAUAAUAGGCUGAGGGUUGUGGUUGAAAAAUCAUAAGUAAUUUAUGCAUCAAAGGGAUCCAGUGAGCUUGCCGUGCUUAUUCGGCGAAGGGGGAAGGGGAGCUCGUGGAACUGGCUUCUGGCUCCACCGCCUAGCGUAGACUCGCGGAUCUGGCCUCCACGAGACGACACGAACGCUCCGAUAACUAUGCAACAUGAAUAAGCAAACAUACAAACAAGCAAGUAUACCAACAAAUAUUUAGUAUAGUGGUCAAAAUAGCGAUACAUGGAUGGGUAGAGUCUUGAGUAGAAUAUGUGUCAUGUGGUGUUGAGAUACUACUAGUGGUGGAGCGGAGGUGCUUACCAGGAGGGUGGACUGGAGGCGAAGCGACACUAUGCGUGUAGCCGGUAGAGCAGAGUAACUGAGUGGGUGGGGUGUUUGCCUUGGCUGAGGGUGUUGAGUGUGUGUGGAGAGGGAGAGGGUAGCAGGGUGUAUUUAUAGCUGGGUGUAUGUGGUGUAGCACAGUGAAGUUCACUGUUGGUGAGAAUAGUGACGAAUGAAUCGUCUGACUUAGUAUGAACAGGAGAGUUAUAGGCAGAAUAUGGGACAAGAGUAUUUUGGGAGUUUUCUGGAAUAUGGACCAUGCUUAAGGGAUGACAUGGUUGGAUAGGGAAUAGUUUGAUAAGAAUUUAGAAACGAGAAUUAUUGGAAUCUGAGUUUGGAAGCAUGGUUCAAAGGAAUCUCAAAGUUAAGCGUGCUCAACUUGGAGAAACCCGGGAUGGGUGACCAGAUGGGAAGUUCCCUACUGGAAGGAAAAUCACAGUCACCGGAGUUCGUAUGACUGGAAUAUGGGUCUGGCUGGUCUUAGGUGGACUGGACAGCAUGAUGUAUGAGUAGUUGAAAUUUGGGGUGAUCGGCUAAUCGAUGAAUAGUAAUGAUGAAUAGUGAUGACAAAAAAGUUACUAUGAGUAGUAACGAUGAUGAAUAGUAACAAUGAAUAGUAACGAUGGUGAAUAGUGUCGGUGAAUAGUAACAAUGAAUAGUAACAGUGAAUAGUUCGUAUGAACGAACGAUGAACGAUGAAUAGGAACUAUGAACGAACGAUGAACGAUGAAUAGGAACUAUGAACGAACGGACGAACGAUCGAAUGAUCGGACGAACGAACGAACGAUCGGAAUUUCGGCAGCAUAACGACAGGACAAAGAUUAUCUGGAAGAACGAUGAAUAGGGACUAUGAACGAACGAUGAAUGAUGAAUAGGAACUAUGAACGAACGAUGAACGAUCGAAUGAUUGGACGAACGAACGAUCGGAAUUUCGGCAGCAUAACGACAGGACAAAGAUUAUCUGGAAGAACGAUGAAUAGAGACUAUGAACGAACGAUGAAUGAUGAAUAGGAACUAUGAACGAACGACGAACGAUCGAAUGAUCGAACGAACGAACGAUCGGAAUUUUGGCAGCAUAACGGCAGAAAAAGAUUAUUUGGACGAACGAACGGACGAACGAUCGAACAAUCGGACGAACAGACCAUGAACGAUCGGACGAACGAACGAACAAACUAAGAACAGGGGACGAACGAUCGAAGAACGACCGAACGAUCCUUGUUCUAGUGUGUGCUUGUGUGGAACAUGGAGUGGGUGUGUGUGGGGGGGAAGAGAGUUGCCAUGAAAUGACUUGGGGUGGGAUGAGAGGAGGCCCUUGCCCCUCUAUUUAUAGCCAUGGUGGGGGGAUUAGGGGGAAGGAUGAGAGGAUUAGUGGGAGGAUGAGAGGAUUAGUGGGAGAUUAGCAUGUAUUUGUCUUGUAUAAGUGAGAUUAGCUUGGAGAGCUCACCGUAUGACACUGGAGGCAUACGUAUACGUAUGAGCAUGAGGAAAGUUUAUGAAGAAAAUAUUUUUGGGGACUUGAAAAAUGAUUAUGAAGGUAUUUCUUAGGAAGAAAAUACUUGGAGAUAUAUCGGUGGAAUAUUUGGACAGUAUUUCUAGAAAGAACUUGAAGAGGAUCACUAGGGAAAUAUCUGGGCAGUAUUUCUGUAAACAAUUUGAGGGGGAUCACUGGGGAAAUAUUUGUAGGAUAUUUUGAGGAGGAUUUUAGAGAGAAUAUAGACCACUAUACUUUAUUUGUUGAUAUCAACUCGCAAACAAACAUUUUGAAAUGAAAUUUGAAAUUCAUUUUGAAUUUAGAGCGAGUUUGAGAAAAUUUUAGGAUUUGAAUUUUUGGGAUGCUACAAAUCUACCCCACUUAAAAGGAAUCUCGUCCUCGAGAUUUGGCUUAGAAGGGUUAUGGGUAUAGCUUUACUUCAGCUACAUAUCUUCACUUUGCAACUCUUCGAGGAGAUGGAACUUCAACAAAAUCUGGCCUUUGCGGAGCAUCUGGUUGCCGAUUGCAAACGCUGAUUAUGGCUACUCAAAGAUCAUCUUCGGGCUUCUAGGUUUCGCUUGGCAGCUAGCUUAUUGAAGAAGCAACGAUGCCAACACGCAAACCUUCUUCUUGCGAACUUAUCCAUGGGUCCCUUCCUUGAUUGCUCUUCUGGUGCUUCAUCAACAAAACUUGGGUGACCACUUCUCAUCCAGAAACUUAUAUGCUUUGAUGAUCUGGUCCUCCACAAGCUUGCUACAAGUCUUCUCUUUUUUCUCCACAGCAGGAACUUGGCUGGAACACUACCCCACUUAAAAUGAAUGAGGGUAGAUCUCUUGAAUCUUGGGGAUUUGAACUCCUUGAAGUACCUCAUAACAAGGGUGUUACGGGGCCUUCUUCUGUUGUUGCUGCUUGAGCAGGCUGCAGAGAGAUGACUGACACAGGGUUGAUUUUGGGAGAACCUUCUUCUUAUCUUCUCUUCACUAUCUUCUUUUCACUUUUCACUUCACUUCUCACUUUUCACUGCCUCUUUCUUUCUCUUUGCUCUUCCCACUCGAGGAUUCUAUCGAAGAGUAUUACCAUCAUACAUAGGAGGAAACCAAAGACUAUGAACCAUGUACAACAGUCUUCAUCCCAAGAAUCACCAAGCAUGGUGAUCUUAGGGGCGAUGGAGUGGAAAAUGGAGUUGCUUGCGAAUUGGCAGAGGGGAUUUAUCUGGAGUGUGCUUUGCUUUGAGCGAGAUGGGAGUUGAGGGAGCUGGUGGGGGGGGUUUAUAGGCGACUGGCAUGCAAGGUGUUGCUCGAGGUGUGGAGUGGUGGUGAUGGAGCAAGUGACAUGAGGCAGCAGGCGUGACAUGGGGAGGGGGGCAUGUUACCGGCGACGAUGGCGGUGGGUGCGCUGCAAAAGGGGACGUGGGCGGCGGUGCUAGUGCGCAUGGAGGCGGGCACGCGUGCAGGGGGCACGGGUGAGUGGUGGGGUCAAUGACCCUGAUGUUUGUGGUCUCUGGUUCCAAGAAUCUUUGCCUCUCUGUAUGGUAAUAACUCCUUUUGUCCUCUUUUCCUGUUUACUUUGACUCAGGGGCAGUGCUUUGAUUCUCACGGUCGGUCCUUUUGACUGAGCGGCUGGACUGGUUUCUUCUGUAGCUUGUUCCAGGCUUCAAGGGUAAGCUUUCCGAUAUCUUCUUGGGUAAGGCACUUUUCUCUUCAGAUGGGUUAAGAUGAGAAUGGAAGCAUAAGGUAAGGAUUAGAUCUAAUUUGUGAUCUAUGUUCUUAGAUAAAACCUUUCUUAAAAAGAAGGAAAACACAUAAGUUCAGCAAUGAUAAGCACAAACAAAUCAAAUAUUUUGAAUAGGGGAAGAAUAGAGUUUUUCCAAAGCAUGAACUACUCAGAUUCGGGGGCUAAGCAUAACUACUAUUGCUUGGCUCCUGAAUUGAGAACUAUGAAAAAUGCAACUUAUGAGCACUAACGUUAAAGCAUCACAUAUGCACUCAAAAGGGAGUAAAACAUCAAGCGAAAUUCAUUUUGAAAUGCCCUAGGGGGCGACACAAUUAGAGUUUUUCAAAACACGAGUCUACACGAUUACCUCUCAUACAUGCAGGGCUCUGGCCAAAGUGAAGAAAAACUUCACUACCCAAUGCACGCAGAGGACUGGGUAUAACUAACUCAGAUCUGGUAGCUUCUCUUCUGGCAAGGCUGACACACAACUUCAAUCUGAGACUUCUCCUGGAUGGGUCAAGAGCGAGCUGAUGUUGAUGACUUCUUCUGGCGGCAACUGAGAUGGUAACACGGGGUUGAACUCUUCUUCAAGCUGGACUCGCUCUUGUAGCUCCUCAGAGGGCGGCGGUGCUGGCGGGGUGCUUGCAGCUUCUUCCUUGACUUCAAGGGAUGGUGCUGGAAUCUUCUUCAUGGUGAGGGGCUCAAACAACUCUGGCGGGGGAUCUUGGGAGGACUCGGGGUGCUCUUUCUUAUCCAUAGCCUGAGGGGAGACUGGAAUUCCUUCUAAGACUAUGGCUCCUUCUGGGAGUUCCCAAGCCUUCUUUUCUCCUCUGGUAGAGACCGGGUGACCUUCAAGAAUCUGGGGGUCUUCUACUCUCCUGGGUUGAACUGGGUUGGAUGAAGCGGGCUCUUGGAUCCGCAGGGCUCUACGUUGGUUAUGGGUUACCAAGUAGGCCUCCAUCAACUUCUGGUUGUGCUCAUCCUUGGCUUGCUUCAGGGCUUCCACAGCAAUGACUUCACGACUUUCCAAGGCAGCUACACGGGCUUGAGCUGUGGUGAGAUCCACAUGGAGCUGACAGUUGCGCUUCUCUGCAUCUUCUGCUCGGGCAAUCAUCUGACGGUGGUGUCGAGCCAAGAAAUCAUACUGUGCAUCAAGGGUGAGCAGGUAUGCAGUGAGGUACACGACUGUGGGGUCAUCCUCAAGCAGUUGCUGCUCUUCCAAUGCACGCAUUCUGGCCAUCCAAUCAGGACGGUUUCUCUGAAAGGGCGGAAAGAAUAUGAGCGGUGUGUCGGCCACUUCUUUUUCAUAGAUCUGACACAGGGCCCUCAAUGCCUUGCGGGCGAUGACUUGGCAGGUGUCUUUGAAUCUGUGCCCCGCAGCAGUGACACUUCAUUCCACAUGGUGCAGACUGGAUCCAAUGUAUACAGUCACGACACACUUCUUUGUGUCAUGCUCGACGAAUUCACGACCAUCAUACUCUGGCUGGCUCCUAAUUCCGAGGCGAACUGUGCUUGCUCUCAGUAACUUGGGGAAACCAUCUUCAUUCUAGCAAAAGCUGAUUUGGCAGCGAACCUCCAUCUGACUUCUGAGAGAAGGAAAGAGGGAAAGCAUUUUUGAAAUGAAGGGAUGAGAGCAAGAUUUUAUUCAAGAAAAUAGUUUUGACUCAAAAACUUUUGAUCAGGCUAAGGGUUACGUCCUGCGGCCAACCUAACAGCUCCGAUACCACCUGAAGCGUCCCCAAUCCUCUGGGACUCAAAUGUGAUACAAUUACUAGUCCCAGGAGGCUAGUAAACACAUUAAUACAUCAGAUGAUUCCAGAUCUGCUUAAACGAGACAAACCUAUAAAGGUGGCGAUCAACUUUAAGAGUUGGUCCACAACUCGGGACAUAUCAUCAGAGUGGGGCUGAAGCAGCCCGAUAUACGCAGCGAAGCAAAUCAGCGGUCCAACAGCCACAGGCAAGGUUGGGAACAAUCGUAACUCUUACCCGAUCUCCUUUUUCUGAAAAACAACAAAUAAGCAAGGGUGAGUACAAACGUACUCAGCAGCCCACCUUCACCCGCGGAAUGGGGAAAUCAAAAUCAGAUAUAAUGCAUGGAAUAUGUGGAGCUCAGGAUAUUUUGCAGAAACAACAAUAUUUUAUGCAGAGUUGUUUUGAAAAACAUUUUGUAUUUUUGCAAAGCGCAUCCUCUCCAAAAGGAGCAGAAAGUUUUUCAGUAUUAUAACAAAAUCCCCUGGACUAAACCAUCCAGGUAUCUCAGCAGUUCCCACUGGUUUUCAUUUUCAAAAACAGCUACUGGACUUCCCGUCCACCAUAGCUCAUGGCUCAACCGCCGAACCUUUUAAAAAACACUUUUCUCAAAACCAUCUCUUUUUUUAAAAAAAACAUUAAUUGCCAUACCAUACCAGACUCGUCCAUUCAAACUUUGCGCAGAGGUGUACACUUUACCCACUAGUUCGGCUCUGCAAUCCCAUGGCCAAUGAGACCCGAAUCCGACUCUCUUUCUUUCCCCGCACAUCCUAACCUUAACGGUUAUUUGGAAGGAGUCAGGCCACCACCAUGUCCAAAUCGGACAAAACUUUCCCCCUCCUUAUCCUCCCGGUGCUCCCCAGCCUUCAUAACCCUAGGGUUGGACCGUACGAGUUCAGAUUGAGUGACUGCUCACACAGUCUCGAGUGGUUGUACUAUUAAAGAGUACAGGUAGUGAAGAUGACAAACCGGUCCUUAUAUGAGGGGACAAUCCUUCUGCUCACGCCUAAACCAGCUGAGCCAACACCUUAGGCCCUCCCCUAAACCAGGGAGUCCCUGAUUAUCCCACUCACAAGGUGAUAAGGGUGAAAACCCUUCAUCACACACAUUUUGAAAAGCAUUUUCUUUUGAAAACUCACACCUGUUCUCAAAUCAUUUGGAACAUAUAUAUCAGGGAUUGAUUGAGGCAAGCGGCUGGGUGGCCAUAAUAACUUGUCUCAAAAUCAUAUCAUGCAUAAAAUAAUAGGUUGAGGGUUGUGGUUGAAAAAUCAUAGGUAAUUUAUGCAUCAAAGGGAUCCAGUGAGCUUGUCGUGCUUAUUCGGCGAAGGGGGAAGGGGAGCUCGCGGAACUGGCUUCUGGCUCCACCGCCUAGCGUAGACUCGCGGAUCUGGCCUCCACGAGACGACACGAACGCUCCGAUAACUAUGCAACAUGAAUAAGCAAACAUACAAACAAGCAAGUAUACCAACAAAUAUUUAGUAUAGUGGUCAAAAUAGCGAUACAUGGAUGGGUAGAGUCUUGAGUAGAAUAUGUGUCAUGUGGUGUUGAGAUACUACUAGUGGUGGAGCAGAGGUGCUUACCAGGAGGGUGGACUGGAGGCGAAGCGACACUAUGCGUGUAGCCGGUAGAGCAGAGUAACUGAGUGGGUGGGGUGUUUGCCUUGGCUGAGGGUGUUGAGUGUGUGUGGAGAGGGAGAGGGUAGCUGGGUGUAUUUAUAGCUGGGUGUAUAUGGUGUAGCACAGUGAAGUUCACUGUUGGUGAGAAUAGUGACGAAUGAAUCGUCUGACUUAGUAUGAACAGGAGAGUUAUAGGCAGAAUAUGGGACAAGAGUAUUUUGGGAGUUUUCUGGAAUAUGGACCAUGCUUAAGGGAUGACAUGGUUGGAUAGGGAAUAGUUUGAUAAGAAUUUAGAAACGAGAAUUAUUGGAAUCUGAGUUUGGAAGCAUGGUUCAAAGGAAUCUCAAAGUUAAGCGUGCUCAACUUGGAGAAACCCGGGAUGGGUGACCAGAUGGGAAGUUCCCUACUGGAAGGAAAAUCACAGUCACCGGAGUUCGUAUGACUGGAAUAUGGGUCUAGCUGGUCUUAGGUGGACUGGACAGCAUGAUGUAUGAGUAGUUGAAAUUUGGGGUGAUCGGCUAAUCGAUGAAUAGUAAUGAUGAAUAGUGACGACAAAAAAGUUACUAUAAAUAUCAUCGAUGAGUAGUAACGAUGAUGAAUAGUAAUAAUGAAUAGUAACGAUGGUGAAUAGUAAUGGUGAAUAGUUCGUAUGAACGAACGAUGAACGAUGAAUAGGAACUAUGAACGAACGAUGAACGAUGAAUAGGAACUAUGAACGAACGGACGAACGAUCGAAUGAUCGGACGAACGAACGAUCGGAAUUUCGACAGCAUAGCGACAGGACAAAGAUUAUUUGGAAGAACGAUGAAUAGGAACUAUGAACGAACGAUGAACGAUGAAUAGGAACUAUGAACGUACGAUGAACGAUCGAAUGAUCGAACGAACGAACGAUCGGAAUUUCGGCAGCAUAACGGCAGGAAAAAGAUUAUUUGGACGAAUGAACGGACGAACGAUCGAAUGAUUGGACGAACGAACGAUCGGAAUUUCGGCAGCAUAACGGCAGGACAAAGAUUAUCUGGAAGAACGAUGAAUAGAGACUAUGAACGAACGAUGAAUGAUGAAUAGGAACUAUGAACGAACGACGAAUGAUCGAAUGAUCGAACGAACGAACGAUCGGAAUUUCGGCAGCAUAACGGCAGGAAAAAGAUUAUUUGGACGAACGAACGAACGGACGAACGAACGAUCGAAUGAUCGGACGAACGGACGAACGAACCAUGAACGAUCGGACGAACGAUCGAACGAUCGGACGAACGAACGAACAAACUAAGAACAGGGGACGAACGAUCGAAGAACGACCGAACGAUCCUUGUGCUAGUGUGUGCUUGUGUGGAACAUGGAGUGGGUGUGUGGGGGGGAAGAGAGUUGCCAUGAAAUGGCUUGGGGUGGGAUGAGAGGAGGCCCUUGCCCCUCUAUUUAUAGCCAUGGUGGGGGGAUUAAGGGGAGGGAUGAGAGGAUUAGUGGGAGGAUGAGAGGAUUAGUGGGAGAUUAGCAUGUAUUUGUCUUGUAUAAGUGAGAUUAGCUUGUAGAGCUCACCGUAUGACAUUGGAGGCAUACGUAUACGUAUGAGCAUGAGGAAAGUUUAUGAAGAAAAUAUUUGUGGGGACUUGAAAAAUGAUUAUGAAGGUAUUUCUUAGGAAGAAAAUACUUGGAGAUAUAUCGGUGGAAUAUUUGGACAUUAUUUCUAGAAAGAACUUGAAGAGGAUCACUAGGGAAAUAUCUGGGCAGAAUUUCUGUAAACAAUUUGAGGGGGAUCACUAGGGAAAUAUUUGUAGGAUAUUUUGAGGAGGAUUUUAGAGAGAAUAUAGACCACUAUACUUUAUUUGUUGAUAUCAACUCGCAAACAAACAUUUUGAAAUGAAAUUUGAAAUUCAUUUUGAAUUUAGAGCGAGUUUGAGAAAAUUUCAGGAUUUGAAUUUUUGGGAUGCUACAGGUUGGCAUCCUUCCACCACCAUUCGGUUUCAAGGAUUUUCAUCACGUAGCCCUGCUGCAGUCCCCCGCCGGCGGUCACCCAGGAGGAUGACCACCAGCCUUGUGGUGGGGAGAAGCAUGCCAGGCUGCGGCCUCUCUCCCACCCUCAACUUCAAGGAUGUUCAUCAUCCUCGCUGUGGUGGGAGGCGGGUUGAGCCGGGGCCCUACCCUCCGUUUGGGUUGGUGAUCCGCUUCUUCCUCCAGCAUUCGGAGGAGAAGGGUGUUCACCAAUCCUGCGGGGGCGGACCUUGGCUACACGGGGCCGACCGACUGCAGGCAGUCAGCUGCAGCGUGUCUGGCCCUUUGGGGCUGGAUGGCUCUGGUGCUGCCUCCGACGCUGCCUCCUGUCGUCUGGGCGCACUGGGGGACCGUACAAGACGUCGUACGCCGCGGCGGUGGCGGCGGCGUUCUUGGAUGGUCUUGUACUCACUCUUGUUGGUCGAAACAGGAGCAAGAACCCCUUCGUGCGUGCUGAGGUAGCCGUCGCCCACCGGUGCAGAGGUGGUCGCCGCCGCUGGUGAGGCUACCUGUUGCAGAGGUGGUUGCCUCCGCUGGUGAGGGCAUCAGAGCCAUCUGCCGCUGAGUCCCUGACUCUUUGGCUUUAAUCGCCUCGCUGUCACCCCCCAUAGGAGGACGGGGGAGAGGACCUUUUCACAGUAGCGCUCGCCCUGGGGCGAUCGCUGCUGCUGUCUAGCUGCCCGAGGCAGAAGUCAUUGUCGCUGCUGGUGCAGAGGUGGUCGCUGCCACCGGCGAUCCGUCGAUGCAGAGGUGGUCGCCGUCGUUGGUGGGGCUGUCCGGAGCCAACUCCCAACGCGACUCCCGUUGGUCCAAUGUAGUCCAUUCCUGCGGAAACGGAGCUAGGGUCCCACUUGUAAGGGAAUGUAAUGAUAUUUGCUUGAGAGCAAAAUGUAAUAACAUAUGUACGCAGGAUUUUAGCCUGGGAAGCCCAGUUGCGUGUCCGAACCCCCUAGAUGGUGGCUUCAAGUACUAAGACACCUGCCGCAGGGCGGUGGAGUAUGCAGGCCCACGACACAGGACCUGGCUGAGCGGCUACAUGGCUUCCAGACCCCCCAGGAGACAAGUGUCUGUUCUUCAAAGCCGGACCUCCAGGUUGGACGCACAGGACUAUAGUUUUAGAUACUAGGACACCCGUCAUGGUGUGGUGGAGUGUGCAGGAUUUUGGGUACUGGACUAGGCUAACUGGCCACACAGGCUCUAGACCACCCUAUGGAACGGGCAUCCGUUCUUUAUAACCGGCCCCAGGCCUUUCCCUGUUUUUGUAAACAAAUAAAUAUUGUCUUCUAAGCAGCAUUUAACACUUAUCUGUGUAACGCAUGUUCUUGCUGUGAGCGAUGUUGUUGACUCCUCCCUGGUACCUGGCCCCCCGCUUGGGAUGCAGGCUUGAUGUGUUGAGGUUGGAUACCAGCGUUUCUAAAAAAGGUUGUCAACAAUCCUCGGGAGGCAACCUCGCCGGGAUCUGAAUCUGUACACAACUUUUAGCUAGGAAGCAUUAGUAGCACACCUCAUAGGGUGUUCUGUCUGACAUUAGUCGCCCUUUGAUACAUGCUCGGGACCUGCAGGUUUUAGUCCGGGUGGCCAAGUUGCGUUUCCGGACCCCCUUGGGUCACGGUUCUAGAUGCUAGGACACCUGUCGCAGGGUGGUGGAGUGUGCAGGCUCACGGUACGGGACCAGGCUGAGCGGCUGCGCGGGCUCCGGACCACCCCAGGAGACUAAUGUCCCUUCUCUAGCUUCGGUCCCGAGGUUGUCGGACCCACAGAACUUAUAACUCUAGAUACUAAGUUCCCGUCACGGGGUGGUGGAGCAUGUAGGCUCACGGUACAGGACCUGGCUGAGCGGCUACACGGGCUCCGGACUACCCCAUGGAACGGGUUCCCGUUUUCUAGAGCCGGCCCCCAGGCUGUCGGACCUCCCCACUUUCGUGUCAGGGGCCCUAAACUGCAAGACUGGUUGUUCAAUUCGGAUGUCGCCAUGUCAGACAGAUGGAACCCGUACGGGUGGGUUAGCUGAAAGUUAUUAUCUGAAAGACUGCAAGGUGGGACCAUGGAGCAGCAAGAUGGAACUAUCACAAGAGCACGACUGAGGGGGGUAGUUUCUUCUUCAUAACUUGUUGUGCAUGUGUGUAGACCAAUAGUCCGGGUUCAUGGGGGUAGACCCCACCGGGUUGUCGUACACGUAUGCGUUAUCUAGUUACCGAAAAGAAGGAAACAGACUCGACCCCUUAGUCUUGCUCUAUGGAUAGAACUUACAGAGAUAUUUGGCAUCAGGAUAAGGUACUCCUCCAGUCGUAGUAGAUGGUUCACCCUGGGUCGGUGUACUCCCGUUACCUUGAAGGGUCCUUCCCAGCCGGGGGAGAGUUGCAGAGCCCCUCUUGGUAUGGACUCUGCCGUGGGGCUAAGCCCCGACCCAGGGUUCCCAUCUGUAUUUGACCCGAGAGCCCUCGUCUCUGGCUAUGAUUACUUCUGCAUACACCUGUCUGCAGCUCCGACCCGUGGGGGGCCCGGAAGGGCCUCUGGAGGAAGGCGUGCUUCAGCUUCGUGGACCGGGGGACAGGGAGUUCCCCCGGGGUCCGUCUAGUUGUCUUCACCGGAGUAGGAGCCUCUGGCAAAGAUAUCCUUCAGGUCCCCCUCGGGCGACUGAUACCCGAGGUCUCGUUCAGCCGCGGCCACCUCACCGUCGUCCACCUUUUCCUUGUCGGGCCGGCGGCGAGGCGGGGAGCCGUCUUUGGAGGACUGCUCGCGCCGCUCGCUGACGCGUUUUGCGAGGUCGAUGAUCUCGCGACACUCCGCGGCGCUGUGGCGACCAUGCGGGUGCACAGGGCAUGAACCGCUGUUACCCUUCUGCGGUCGCGGGCAUUUGUUGCGGUCGCCCUGGCCUCCGGUCGCUACUGCGACCACCAGAGCAGUGGACCGCGGCUUCUGGUAGUCGCGGUCCUUUUUUUUCUUCUUUCUGUCCCGGAGGACGGGCCCCGUACCACCCGACUGGGCAGCUCCAGUUUGUGGGGCCGAGUGCCAUGCACGGCCCUCGGCGGCUCUGGCGCAUUUGUCGGCCAGAGCAAAGAGUGUGGGGACAGUUUCCACGUCAUGUGUGGCCAACUUCUCCAACAUUUUUUCAUCACGUACUCCCUGUCAGAAAGCCGUGAUGAUGGAAGCAUCAGAAAUACGAGGUAUCGUACCUCGUACCUUGGUGAAGCGGGAGAUGAACUUCCGGAGGGUUUCCCCGGGCUCCUGCCUUACUGCAUGGAGGUGGGCCUCCACACUGUGUUGUUGGUAAGCACUAGCGAAGUUCACCACGAACCGCGCACAGAGUUCUUCCCAGGAGUAGACUGAUCCCUUGGUGAGGUUCAUGAGCCAGGUCCGGGCAGGUCCAGACAAAGCCACAUGAAAGUAUGUCGCCAUCACAGUGGUGUUUCCACCUGCUGUCGUGAUGGCGGUAACGUACACCUGCAGGAACUCUGACGGGUUUGAUGUUCCGUCGUAUUUUUCCGGCAGGUGUGGCCGGAACUUGGGCGGCCAUGAUGCCGCGCGAAGAUGGUCUGCGAGGGCGGCGCAGCCCACGCCGGGCAAGGGGACACCCGUUUGGGACCGGGCGCCCACUGGUGUCUGCAGUGCCUCCGCGGUGAAAUCUCGGUCGAGAUUGCGACCCUCAAUGUUCUGACGGCACUCACGCGCCCUUUCCAAAGAGACUCGGGCGUCUUCUCCCAUACGCCUAUGGUUGAGCUUCACCCGGAGGUCGUCGGUCUGUGCACCCCUUACGGAGGGCGAGCGCACAGACGCCGUCGCCUCGCGUUGGCGCCGGGAUGAUCGAGGCCUCGACCUGGACGAAGUAGAAUGUGCCAUUCCGAGCAGCCGGUCGACGUCGUCGUGCCACUGCUUCAUGGCCCCCGGUGAUGCCGUGGAGCUAGGGGGAUGGCACAGCAAUUCUCUGGCCAUAGACAGCGUCGUAGGCGCUGCCCUCGACGGAGUCCGGGACGCCUGCGCUGGCGUGUGCUGCUGCAUGGCAUGCACGGCAGCAGUCCCAGAGUCGGGGCGGUCGAGCGCUCGUGGCACGGAGGAUGCAACCUCUUGCUCCAUCAUGAAGUCCUCCAAAGUUUCGGCGUGGUGCUCGAUGAUCCGCACCAUCAUGUUGAGCGAGAAAACAAGCAAAAACUCGAAGCCUAGCCCCCUACCUGGCGCGCCAAAUGUCGGAGAGGAAAUCUCCUCGGCCGGGUGGCAGAUUGCACCCGCCCUAAAUCCUGAAGAGAGGAGGGGCCUAAGCGUUUUGCUUGCUACGAGGCUGGUGGAUCAACACACGAUAGCACACGAGGGUUUAGAGUGGUUCGGGCCGCCGGAGCGUAAUACCCUACUCCACUGUGUGAUGUAUUGCUUGGAUCUUGUAUGAACUUAUGAGUGUAUGCCUAAAGCUAGGUCUGAGAGCCUCCCUUUGUAACGUCGUAUGCCUCCCCCUUUAUAGCUGAAGGGGGGAAUGCACAAAAGGACUGGGCCCCAACAUGUGGGCCCAGGGAUAUAACGAAUAUAGAGCUUGGAUCCCCUAAUGUCUAUUGUCGAGGCAAUCUUCUUGUACCCUGUCGCCCGAGGUCUGCGUAUCCUUGGCGUGUAGGGGAAGCUUCCUACGGAAGAGAAGACGAGUAUAGGGUGCCGCCUGGCACGGGCGCACUGUUUGCCAGCAGACCCAGCAGGCGCGCCGCCUGCUGGAUGACCUUGACGCCACCUGCCAGCGGAUGGGACGAGACGCAUUUAAUGCUGAGAGGGCACGUCGCCCAUCAGCGCAGCGGCAGGCGGCGCGUCUUUUCUUGAAUAAAUGCAGGGGCUGCAUGGCUUCUCGUCAGGGUCGGCCCGGUAGCUUAUGUCAUGGGCCACAAGCAGCGGAUCUCCGCCUGAGCGGGAAGCGGAGGCAAGGCCCGCACACGUGUCAGCGCCGGACCCAUGCACACACUAGGGUCCUUCUCGGUCCGGGACCCUGCCGGAGUUCGGACUUACCCGAAGGCUCCGGACUCGUAUAUAGGGGUCCGGCCUUACUGGGGUGUGGUGUCUUUCCCUGCCACAUGGUGCCCUUUGGCCUGCCCAUCCGGUGGGGUCAGGCGCGGUCCCUCGCGUGGCUAAGGGACAUCGCAUGGGUGCGGUGUCUUCAUGCUGUAGGAGAGGGUACCCUGAUUUUGGGUACCGACAAUCUGUAUCUCUAAUCAAAGAGGAUCCCAAGGCCGCUCUUAACCGUGAGCACGACUGAUACAUCAGUUUCGUAACACUCUGCAGAGGUUGCACACAUUACCCAUGAGCCGUGAUCCCCUUUCUGCCCGAGGAUCACGACUCCCCAUUGAUCACUUCCAAGGUGAACUAGCAGGGUCUCACUACGUGGCUUUUCCCUAGGGUCCUCACUAUGCGAAUGUUGGAAAUGACCAUUGCAUAAAGUCCAUCUGACGUCCCAAAACUUAUACCUCUGCCCUCAGGAAAAAGCCAUGGGACGAUGCCCGUACCCAUAUCCCUGAGCGAGAAUAUAGGAGCCAUAAUAGAUGCCUCCAUUUUCCAAUGACCAAAAAUCAGCACCCAACAUAAGACUUCCUUAAUUACUUGGCCAAGGGCGUCCCAUACCACCCUCAUGGUUGCACUGUUUUCCCGGGGUGUCGCUCCCGAACAGGUCCUUAUAGAGAGACACUCAGGAAACAGCCUGAGUCCCCUAAAGUGUCACAGGACCACCAUCGGGAUAACUUCAUUGUAUCAUAAGUAAUCACAUCAUGUUCAUUGAUUAAAGUAAAGCAAUAGCAUGAAGCUAACCAUAAUAACCCAAAAGGUAAUCAAGGACAAGGUAAAUACAGAGCUAGUCAAUCCUUAGGUUUUCAAUUGAGUAAUGCGGGAUAGUGAUUUAUAAAGUAAAUAGGACGUAAUGGGUCAGAGGACACUUGCCUUCACCAAAAAGAUGAUCAGGGUCUUCAAUCUCGUAAAACUCGAAGAGCUUGAUCUCAAGACCAGUGGUUCACCGAAUCUUGGCCGUCGAUUCCUCGAAGCUCGGGAACAGAUCGCAAUCUAUUUGCGACACAUAGCGAAUACGAACAGACAUAGACAAACAAACAUAUACAUGCAUAAAAACAUUACACCAUACAAAGGAAACCAUUAUAAAAAUGUGUACUAUAAAAUAGAGAUCGCUUCUACAGUCACGCAAGGAAAUAAGUGCUGAAAUCGAAACUAUGGUUGAGACGGUAUGGUUUUUAGAAGGUUUGCAUCAUAAACGCGUAAUCUAUGUUCUAGGCCGAUUCUAAUUAAUAUAAAUUGUUUGUGGAAGAUACUCUAAAGAAAUAUCUAAUGUGGCAUUAAUCGGGAUUGUAAUUUGAUCGGAAACCACAUUUUUGAACUGGUCGGAUUAUAUUUAUGAAUACGACGCAUAAUACUCACUAUGUUUAAACAUAUAAUAAAUUUAUAAAAAACACGACAUACGGAUACCAACUAAGUUAUAUCAUUUUAUAUUGAUCGAAUAUUGAAUAUAACGUCUAAGUCGGCAUAAUCACUUAACAGGUUCGAUCGAACUAUUAUUUUAACUAACCGGCGCUAAACAAGAAAUUAAUCAUUUAACAUGAACGAUGCGGCAAAGCGAUUUUAUCAAAGCGCCUGAAUAACAAUUUAUGUGAGCGGCGACGCGAGCGAACAGUACGCGACAACACGCGAACCAUACGAGUGGCAUAAACACGUGAACGAACGACGACGAAGUACAAGAAUCACGCGAAUGACACGCGAAACAGCGUGCCACCGCAUGCGGAACAGGCCACACGACAGGCGGAGAAAAACUAAUUAGAUGUCGUGCUUAAACUAAACAAGUAUUAAAUAAAUAAAAAGAAUUUAAGCUAAUAUUAACUAUGUUAAUGUUUAUUAUCAAAGCGCAAGUUGAACACUACACUUUUAAUCUAAUCAGAAUAUUAAUCUAACAAUUAUUAGUCGAGCAAACCUUAAGUUAACUAUUUAAAAUACGCGAACCGACAAAUUAUCGUUAUUAACAUAAGUGUUUAUAAGCGAAAACAAUUAUUAUCACGCGCAGAUGUCGCGCGACAUACGUGAUCGACACGUGAGAUACGCAUGACACGCGAACCAGACGCGCGACACGAGCGCGCGAAGGAAUGUCGACGACGCGCAAACGACGCGCGAAUAAUAUGCGACGACGCACGAACACACGCGACUUAGUGCGCGGACAACGCGCGGCACGCGAAGACAACGUGUGGUGACGUGCGCAAAACAGCACGCGCGAUCCAGCAUGCCCUCGCGCGCAGAACAACAUGCACGAUAUACGAGAAAUACUUAAAUAGAUGUUGCGCAUACACUAAGCGUGUAUUAAUUCAAAAUGUUUGAGUUCGCAUUAAUCAAAUUAACACGUAUUUGUAAAGCACAAGUUAGAACUAUACAUUAGUUUUAAUUGGAAAGUCAUUUUUAGCCACUAUUGAAUGAACAAAUAAUUUAUUACUUAAGAUCCGCGACAUACCAAAAUAAUGUUACUAAUACGAAAUUGAAGUUAUUACGAAGUUAACGCGACUGGAACGAGUCGUGACGGGUUUACGACGCAAUUUAUAUUGAAUAGAUAUCAUCUCUCGAAUUUAAAUUACGUGGCGCGAUUCUAUUGGUCAAAGCGAAGCCACACGAAGGGCCACAUGGAUGUCAGCCACAACUAGUCAAAAUGAGUGAGAUCAAAUGUGGCUAGCAUCUCCCCGAAUCCCAACUGCACGGUUGGCUUCUUCUCAUAUCCUUCUUCCCAAUCGCACAAACACAGCAAGGCUUCUUCUUCAACGGACGGAGCAGAGAACAGAGGGAGAGGAGGCCGGCUAGCAGGGAUCUCGCCGGGGCCAUGGGCCAUGGCCAGCGCUGGCUGUAGGGGCGAGCUCGGCCGGCCGCGCGCCGCGAGUCGCGCCAGGCCGCGCCCAGCAGGGGCGAGCGCGCGCCACGCUGGCCAGGGUGCAGGGCUGCCAAGCUCCAGGGGCUCGGUCGCGGACUCGCCAUGCGAGGGCGGUGGUCGUCGCGUUCGCCGAUCCGUAGGAGCACGGGGCACGCGAGAGAGAACAGCGGAUCAGGGGGCCGUGUCGUGCAGGAGCGAGGGCGCCGCCAGGGCUAGCCGCGACGUCGUGUCGGGGACGAGGCCGGGGCUGAGCGCGCUGCGCGCGAGGCUACAGGGGCGCGCACGGGCGCUGCGCGGGGCUGUCGGGGACGAAGCCAGGGCAUGCGCGCUAAGCUGCCGUGGCUCUGCGUCGGCUGGUCGCGCGAGGAAGAGAGAGAGAAGGAGAGGGAUCUUGCGUACCUGGUAACCGCUGCCCUUCACCCCUGUGAUCUGGAUCCGGAGCGAGACGAGGAGUUUUGCGACGGCUAUGGAUGUAUUUAUAGAAGAGAGAGGAUGCGGAAGACGGUUGUAAAAUUUAUCGCAUGUCGCAUCCUGGCCAAGCAAAAGCGACGGUCGCGCGACGAGUUGCACGAUACAGUGUAUGGCGGAGACUGAGUUAGGCAGGGGUAGGCGAUGGUAGAUGAAAUAGAGGGGUAGCAGGUGUGCGAGCAGCACAACGUUCAUGAGGAGGAAAUGCGGUUUGACCACCUCGCGAAAAAGACACAAACAUAGAACGAGUUCAACAAGAGAAACAUAUAUAUUUAUAAUCGAACUUCCAAGAUUUUGUUGUUUUCGCAAAUACUAAAUUUUAGAGGUUAAAUUAAUAUUAGAAAUUUCUAGAAAUUUAUAUUUAAUACUCGAAAAUGUUUUAAAGGUUCCAAACAUUCCUAAAAACACUAUCGAGAUAAUCUUUUUAUGUUUCGAAAACCUUUUGCACCCAUAAACAAUAUGCAACGGCUUGAAUGUAACAAUCAAAGCUUCUCUAGCUGGACUUUUAUUUUACCAUGCCAGAAACUCAUAUAUAUAUAUAUAUAUAUAUAUAUAUAUAAUAAAGUUAAUAUCCAUUAUUUAGAAACAAAAAGAAGAAGAAAAACAAGUAAAGAGGAGGGUAACACCUGAAUUUGGUGAAUAUUAGAAAAGAUAUUUUCUACCCCAAAUUCAGGGUGUUACAGCAGCCAGCAGCUCACAUGUCAUUUGCGCGAGCUCCAGCCACCAAGCCGGUGAUGGCCAAAUGGACCGUACUGAUGACCGGCCGGACGGUCUGGCCUUGAGGACCGGACGGUGCACGGACGGUUCACGAUCAGAUCGAAUCAGAUCAAAAAAACAGAAAGUUCUCUUUAUUUUUAUUUUUUUUUAAAAAUAGUGGGUUAUAAGUUUAUAACAAAAAUAAUGCAGAUUCAAGUAAAUACUUGAAUAACGGCCGGCGACCCUGCUUUAGACUAUUUUUAACUGUCUCUAUUUCACUCUUUAUUUCAAAAUUUACUUUAAAAAUAAUGUAACGCGUCUACAAUGCAAAAUAUUGAUUUGCAUGUCUAUAUAGACGUAUUUGCUGGAGUUGGCCUUGUGCUUUAUAUAAAGCCGAGGAUCACGCGCCGACGCAGCUCAUCUCUGGCAUCGCUCGGGUUUUCCCCUGACACGAACGCUACCGAAAGUGCAUGCAUGCUCAUGCCACCGACACAUGCAUGAAUUCCAGUUCGGUCUGAACGACGAACGAACGUGUGUUCUAUGCUGACCAAAACCCGAUCGAGCUAAGGCUGUACUGCUCCGACUCUGAGUGACAGGUAGCUGGUUCCAGGACAGGAGCACCCGCUUUGGUUCUGCCACCAAAUUCUCUUCCGCGCUUUUGUGCAACUCCCGUAGGCUUUUCGAGGAAGGCCAAGAGUGCAGGCAGCUUCCCCGCUUUUUGAGGAAGGCCAUUUUAUAUUGUGAAAGAAUACAAUGAGUCAUCAUGAUUAUAGCAAGUUAUCAAGAAAUUUGAAACUCAACAUAUAUAAGCCAAUAAGCUAUUACUAAUCAUUAUUGUACUAGGAUAAGUCAUUCUUUUACUAAUAAUCCAUGCACAUGUGUCCCAUCACUAAUAGUAAUACUCCCUCCGGUGCAGUAAAGGUAGUCGUUUAGGACAUGAUUGUGCAUACCAAGAAAUGAUUAAUUAUCAUGGAGUUUUCUCUGUUUGCCCUUAUUAAAUAAGGAUAUGGGUGCAUUAACGUCAUCGAAACAAUCAGACUCGAUUGGUUGCUGCAGCACCUCCCGAGACAUAAUAUACUAGAGGUCUCAAGAUUGAUUCCUGGAGCACAUCUUUUUUCGCGUUCUGCAUGUUGGCGCUCUUUUUUUUUUCUAGCGCGCUGCUAGCCGUCGUUUUGCAUGCUUGGGUUGCUAUUUAAAGCAGCUAAGCACUUAGCAACACUCACACUCUCACAUGGCCAUUCCAUUUGAUCUAAAUGAGCUUCCUUUAGAUGAGCUCGAUGAAGACUUCCAGGAGCCGGAUGAUGCUAAUGAGCUCGGCCUCAACGAUGUGCUGUUGGAAAAUGGCAACGGUAACGUGUUUCACGCUAUCUUUGGAUAGAUUUUUUGUGUCAACUCUCAUGUUUUACGCUUCCUUUGGACAGAUUUUGAUUUGAACUUACCUCUAGAUUAGUUUGGCGCGGUUGUAGAGAACCACCGACGAAAAGAGAUGACAAAAGAUAUGAGGAAACAAGUGUAUCAAGCGUUGUUGGCUAGAAGCAAUAACGGGAGACUCCACAAGAAAGAUACCCAAAUUGUUGCCAACCAAUUUGAUCUCCACCUUCGGUCAGUGCAGAGCGUAUGGAACAGAGGUAAAAUACAACUUGCAAACUCGGUGCCGGUUGUGGUUGCUAGUCUAAAAAAGGGAAGAGUUGGUCGUAAAGCAAUUCCUAUUGAUUUGGAAGUUUUGCGUAACAUUCCUUUAAAGGAUAGGAUGACCUUAGAGGAUGUUUGUGCCAAGUUAAACAUGAGUAAAUGGAAGGUGCUAAGGUAUUUGAAACAAGGUUUGCUUAGGCGUCAUUCUAGUAGCAUCAAGCCCUUUCUCACUGAAGGAAACAAAAAAACUAGGUUGAAGUUUUGUAUUGACAUGAUUAAGAGGGGGUUGAAUGGUGAUCCAAGCUUUAGGGAUUUUUUUGACUUCGUUGUCAUUGAUGAAAAAUGGUUCUACCUAUCCCAAAAGUCUGAAAAAUAUUAUUUGCUCCCCGAAGAAGAUGAUCCACAUAGGACUUGCAAGAACAAAAACUACAUCCCUAGGCUCAUGUUUCUCGCUAUUUGUGCUAGACCGAGGUUUAGAGAUGGGUAGUGCAUUUUUUAUGGUAAAAUUGGAUGUUUUCCUCUUGUCAAUUAUGAACCGGCUAUAAGAGGAAAUGCUAUAACUGGCCGUGUAAGGGGAGAUAUGGUUAUGAAGCCCAUUCAAAGUAUCACAAGAGAUGUUAUUAGAGAAUUCAUGAUUAACAAAGUCUUACCAGCCAUUAGAGCUAAGUGGCCAAGGGAAGAUGUGAGAAAUCCUAUUUAUAUUCAACAAGACAAUGCACCUUCACAUUUAAAGUUGGAUGAUCCAUUGUUUUGUGAGGCUGCAAAGCAAGAUGGUUUUGAUAUUCGCAUCAUUUGUCAACCUCCAAAUUCUCCUGAUUUUAACAUCUUGGACUUGGGUUUUUUUCGAGCUAUUCAAACAAUCCAAUACAAAAAGAAUGCAAGAACUAUUCAAGAACUAGUUCCAGCAGUGCAAGAGGUAUUUUAGACAAUUUUUUAUCAAAUUUCUCACAUCAUUUUCAUGGUUACAUUCCUCUAAUUUCAUCACUGAUUUUUGUAGGCUUUCAUGGAGUUUUGUCCACACAAAGCAAAUCGCAUUUUUGUCACACUACAAACUAUUUUAUUGGAAGCAAUGAAGAAGAAAGGCUGCAACAACUACAAAAUCCCGCACAUGAAUAAGGCUACAUUAGAAAGACAGGAGAGGCAGCCAACUUGUAUUCCUUGUCCACCAUCUUUGCUACAUGAAGCUGAGGCUACACUUGCUGCAUUGUAGGGAGAAAUAUGCUAGUUAGAGGCAACAAUGUCAUUUAGAUCUUAGCAUGUUUGAUUAGCAUGUUGUAACUUGAACAUUUCGAUCUUAGCAUGAACUUACCGAUGCUUUGCCGUCGCACUCGGGCUUGCAGUCCCACUCUUGUGCACCGUGAAGAAGGGCGUCGAUUAGGUUGUCCUUGUUGAUGACAUCGCAGCGAGAGCAUGGACGAAAUGCCGAGUGCACACGGUUCCACGAUGCACGGUUGUCAUGGACGACGCCGCAGCUACCACAUAAAAAUGGGUCGAGCUCCAGCUCGCCGGACUUGGCCUCCGGCGCGACCUCCUCUGCUGCUGAGUCCGGCACGAGCUCGAAGGAGUCCAGCGUGAGCUCGAAGGAGUCCAGCGCGACCUGCUCUGCUGCUGAGUCCAGCGCGAGCUCGAAGGAGUCCAGCACGAGCUCGAAGGAGUCCAGCGCGGAUUCAGAGUCGGAGUCCAUGGCGAGGCGCGAGCAAGGAAAGCGAAUGCGAGACGCGAGCAAGGCGAAGCGAAUGCGAGACGCGAGCAGAGUCGUGCGGUGUUUGCAUGUCAGGCGCGCGGUGCUUGCAUGUUUGGCGUGGGCGUUAAUACAUCACGUUGGUUUCCUUGCAUCGUGCGGUGUUUGCAUGCGAGACAGAGUAAUAAUGCAUGGCGUGCGGUGUUAAUGCAUGGCAACGGGCGACGCAGAGAACGAAGCAACGGGCGACGCAGAGAACGAAGCAACAGGCGAUGCAAUUACUCAGGGGCAGUGACGUCCAAAUUCUAGACCCACGCGUGCUACGACUUCUUUUGUGCACGUUCGGUCACACGCAGAAUGACUUCCUUUACUGCACCGGAGGGAGUAAGUAUGCAUAGUAUGAACCUAAUCUUUAAAGAGAACCCACAUAAAUAAAAAAUGAUUUUCAUGAGCACACAACUCAGGUCCUACACAAUCGUAUCUAAACAGUUGUUAGCAGCCAUAUAUUGUACUGGCUUGUGAAAGAAUGCGGCAUAAAAAAGAAGAACUGACAGCGAAUCUAAUCAUAAGACCGUCAUCGCAAUAAACUAAAAAUGCAGAUUUACUUACAAUGAGUUCCACAAGUGUUGGUGAGGUACCCAAGCGGACAUAUACGAAGCACUUCCCAGAAACCUAAUUCGCUGGCACCCGUGCAAGUCGUCAAAACGCCAAUGUUGGUUCGGAGACACUGUUCUCCCUUGAUCUACUGCACGACAGACAAAGGCACAACAGGGCAGAGAAGCAGCGGCGCAGAAAAGAUGAGAUGAAGAGGAUGAGUCGGUUGCUAUUCGCGUCUAUCCUCCGACUUAGGACGUCUGCCCUUUAUGGAGGGGUCGUUGCAACCUCUUUGAUUCGAUCUACUAAAUUUCAGGAACCACCCCACUGGAAUCUCUCUACGUGCAACCGUCCGAAAAUCUCGCAUGUAACGUGCAUGCUCAUCACUCCUGGUUUACGUGGCAGUCUAGGUGUGGUAUUUGAUAACCAAAUAAACAAAAGGCAAAAGUUAAACUGUCAUUUAGAAAACACGUCACGACGCGAUCGUGCAUCGUCCCAAGUCUCAAGUCAUGCGAUAAAUAACGCGAAAAAACGCGAAACGCGAGCGAGCGCGUGUGGCAGGCUCUAUAGCCCUUUAUUUGUCUCAUAUAAAGAGUAUAGAAUACUCACACAUAUAAGUUGGUUCUCUCCUACCUAGUUGAGCAAUAUGGAACUGAAGUCAUAUGCCAUCUCUACACACCACCUUGACUUCUUUAUUGAAUUGUGCUACAUACUAGUGGGCCUAAUUCCAACAAAAAAUAGAUGCACCGGUCCAUACGAAAUUACUACUAUUUCGGACAUGAAAACAAACAAUUAUGGAUUUGUCUACGGUUAGGUGUUUGGAUUCUUAUCUAAUAGUACCUCCGUUUAUAAAAUAUAUAACGUCAGUGACCUUUUAAAAAAACUUUAAUCAUUCAUCUUAUUCAGGAAAAAGUUAUGGCUUAUGAGUUAUCAUUUAUUUUGUUGUGAAUUGUUUUAUCGCUUAAACUCGUUUGAACGUUGCUUCAAAUUUUAUAUUUUUAAAUAAAUAUUUUAAAUAAGACGAGCGCUUAAAGUUUUAGAGAAAAAGUCAAUAGUAUCUAUUAUAUAUUUGUGAAUCCAAAUCUGUCAGCAAAUGGACCAAAUGCUCCCUUCAUUGUUUGUCUUUGCCCGGUGUGACUAGGCCUAGGCAUUCGGGUUACCCGAAACAUUCGGGUCGAGUAAAUGAAAAUUCGGGGUAUUACAAUCUGCUAUCCUAUUUUUGUCCAGAAAAAAAUAUUAUCCGAAAUUUCGAGUUCGGGUUUUACCCGAUAUACCCAAAGUCCCAAAAUCGACUAUUUAUUUUUUUAGAGAAGUAAGAAUACUUAAAUAAUAGAAUGAGCCUACGUACACAUGGUGAUUAUAGUGGACAUACAAUCUAUUAAAAUAUUAAUUUACACUCCAAUCAUUCUCAAUCCAUGAGUAUUGUGAUGAAUACUACAACAUCCAAAUAAGCCCCUAAGUGUGACCCCAUAUAGCAUGCUAUCAGUCUCGGCGUCUCCCUCACCUCCCUUUAAAGUCGUUUGUUUAGACAGUUACAACUCUAAUUUAUAGAGACAAAAACAUUAUAGAAAUAGCAGAAGCCGGUACGGAUUAAAGCCAAUCGAAGAUGCUUAUCUCAAGUAGCAGAAUGGAGGUGGGGACAUGAGGGGUCCUUUUCUUUCACACAUAGCAGAAUGGAAAUGAGGCGGGCCAUAGCGGAGGCAGAAGCGUGGUGCAGGCAUGGAUGGCAACAGGGAAUUCUCUGUCGGGUUUUGGUUCCUCAUACCCGUCCCGAGACAAAAAAAAGUUUCCCGUGAGGAUCCCCACGAACUCUUAGGCCUAGUUUGGAUACUCUAGUAAUGAGUGGGAUUAGAGUGGAUUAAGAUGUAUUGAGAGAGUAUUUGAUCUAUUAGGGAUUUGCACUCUCUCCAAUCCCUUCGAAACACUCCAAACCCAAAGUAUCCAAACUAGACCUUAUGGGGGGCAUUUCUUCUCCAUCCCUGUUCCCCGUGGGAUAAAUCCCCGUCGGGGAUCCUCGUCCCCGCUUAAAUUAUAAUAAUGGCAUACUUUCUUUGAUAUUAAUACAAAACAUUAUCACUUAUACACAUUGUCAGAUGUCAGAAAUCACUAUGUGUACAUCAAAAUAAACAUAUUUCUACAACAAGUUAUCUUUUAAACAAUGUAAUUAUUUAUUUUUAUCAUUAUAUAAUACAUAAAAAUAUCAUUAUAUAUAAAUUUAACGGGUCCCCGCGGGGAACGGGGAUGUAGAAUGUUUCUCCAUCCCCGUCCCCGUUUAACCGUCGGAGGAGGAUUUUUUCCCGUUUAAAUUCCCGCGGGGAGAAUCUUCCCCAACCCCAUCCUCUAUGGAGUAAUGCUCCAUGGUGAAUGAGGGAUCCGGGCCCAUUGCGAUCCCAACAUGGCAUGGAUGAUUGACGCCGGCGCAAUUUGUGGUUUUGGAGACAGAGGUGUGAGGUCAUUUUCGGAUAUUUCACGUUCUAUUACUAGUACCAGUCACAAUUAUCUAUACUAGAUUUAGAAUUAACAACUAAAAAAUGGUCCACCCAUUACGUAAGAGGCCCAAAUCCGGCCAUUCAAGCAUGGAAUAUCCAGAGAGGUGCUUGCAGCGGCCAUUUCUUUCACACAAUCGUAAGCUCCAUCCAACCUGAUCUGCUCACCUGGUGGAUUAGGAAACGUUUUUUUUUUUUGGGGGUUAGAUUAGAGUAACCCACUCUCUGAUGUGUGACAGGUCUCCCCCAGGGACGACGUACGUGGGGCCCAUGCCGGCGAAAGAGCUUUCAUGCCUAUGCUCUCCCCGUAUCAUUCCCCCGCCGAUGCCAGAUUCCAGCUUCGAAGAAAUCUGUCUAAUUAUACUGCGUACAUAGCUAGUUUGACAACUUUAUUUUAAACUUUUUUUUAGAAAAAUAGAAAUCCCUUUAAAAGAUAAGCUUGACAAACUAACUCUAAAUACUUCUUGUGUACGUAAUGAAGCCACUAAUAUACGUAGCUAAUGCUAAUAACUUCUUGUACGAAAUGUAAACGUGUGCUCCUUUGAUCCUAGAAGGAAUACAAUUCUAGCUUGCAACUCGUAGUCAAUCUAUUCUCAUCAAUGAAUAUGUCCAUUUAGUAUAACUUUUCAGGAUUAUAAUUAUUGAUGCUGUUUUUUGAAGAAGAAAAAAAAACAGUGAAACUUAAAAUACUGUGACUCCGACGGAAUCUUGAAAUGCAUUCUCUCUCUCUCUUUUUGGCAAUGAUGGGAGUAACUAUAUUAGUUCUAGCAAUGCAUGAGGGGAAAAUGUAAAAGGUCUCUAAAUACUACGCUACCUUCUUCCAAAAAGGGUGUAAUUUUGGACCAACUUUAACUAGGUGUAUAUAUAGAAAAUGGUUUCAAUAUUUAAUCUCCAAUAGGUUUAUUAAGAAGUUGUUUUUUUAUUUAAAUCUAAUUAUCUAUUACGUAUGAUAGAUAUUAAUAUCUUCAUUCUCGAAUAUUUUUUCAUCGCCUAGUUUAUUUUUGAACUAAAACGCAACAAAUAAAAAAAGAAGGGAGGAAGUACUGUUUUUAUGAAAGAGAUAGAACUUGGAACUUAUUGACUCAACAAACAGCGAGAAUGUUAGGAUCGUAGGUGGAAAAAAGGAGACAGAGAGUUUAACGUGGAAAUAACUCCUCCAAUGUGGAGGAGAAAAAAACCACAGAAAAACAU